UCCUGUGCACUGCCCUCACUAGGCAGUUUUCGCGCGGAGGGACCGGUCUCCCCGACUUGGGACCGGUCCCCGAGAGCUUCCCUCGGGCGCACGCGUUCGGGAACCGGUCUCUCCCCGGGAGACCGGUCCUCGGGAGACCGGUCCUCACCUGAGAGACCGGUCCCCAAGAGCUUGAUUUUCAGGACUUAGCCAAUUUUUGGCAUCUCUCGCUGGGACCACGUUCGGGAACCGGUCCCCCCCUACCAGGGACCGGUUGCGUCAUGCAACCCCGCUACAACAAGCCAGGGGAACCGGUCUCUUACUUGCAGAGACCGGUCCCCGAGAGCAACAUCAGCCCAAUGAUGCAAUUUGCCUCAUUUGCUCUCGCGGACUCAACUCCAAGGCACUUUUUGUGCUUUGGACAUUCCCAACUCCCACAAAGGGUAUACUUUUGACAAUUAGUCGAUCCUGGAUGAAGUACAAUCCUCAUAUUUCGAGAAUUCACUUCCUUACAUUACUUUUGUUUAGGUAGUUUUCUCUCUUUUGUGUUUUGUUGAGAGAGAGAGAGAUUUUGUAUCCAUGUAUAAAGACCACCUCUGUAUUACCUUCAGUUUAUGUACUCGGGUUUUGUUAUUGUACUACCUUAUGGUUUUAUUUAGUGGAUCUAGCUCUUUACUUAUUUUCUUUUCCUUGUCAUAGAUACUAGAUGUUGUAUACUCUGAUAUCUCUAGAUCUCUUCGUGUUGUUGCUUUAUUUAUUACCUUAUUGUAGACGCCUUAUAUAUUUUAGACGUAUGGCGGGUCUGGACACGCGCCGGGCGGGCUUCCGCUGUGUCCCGGGGCGUGACAGAUCAUGUCUAUGAUGUUCAUAAUGCUACAAUAAGUGACGAUACAUCUCAUUACUAUUCUAACCAUACAUUAUGCCAAUCAAUAUAAGUGUAACAUACUACCACUAGGGUGUCAAUGCUAACAAUGACUAACAUAAGGUCCACAUAUGCACUAUCAUGCAUAUCCACUAGUCCAACUGAUAUAAAUCAUCUAGUAGUAGUUUUCACAUUACACUUUAGGUUUCGUAGUUCAAUCCUCAUCAUGGAUCUACACAUGUGUAGUCCGGCUUGUGCCGUGCCAAAAAUGGCCCCGUAGUAGUCAACAUUCCCACUCUAGGAAUGAGCCUCCCCCACGGCAUCCCAUUUCAGCGCCCAAUCCCGCACGGGCGAGCUUGUGUCACAUAGGCUAUCUCCGGAGUGCCACCUUGUGGGGAGCGACCCUCACAAGAAUGUGUGAAUGAGCACAAAGGCAAGCAAGCGUGAUCAAUAGUAUCCAACUCUCGGUCAUCAUGUCUAAAAUAUGGAAUAAGUGGCAAUGACCCUAAAGGUCCCAUAUAGUAUUACGAUGUCAAGGUUUAUCAUUUAUUAACCCAAAUGUCACUACAUGACGUUCAUGAUUACUAUGUCAAGUAACAGUCACUAGUUCAAAUGCACACAACCAUUGCCAUUAUCCUAUCUAGGGUAGUUCACUUUUGUCCAAGUCUCAAUGAGAGUUCACACUUAGUCUAUUCCACUAAAGCUAAGGAAGUCACUUUCUUAUGGUGUAUGCAUAGUUACCACUAAUUAUUUAUAAUGCUCAUGAUGCAAGCCAUGCACAUAUAUCUUCCUACCCAUACCUCCACCUUAUGGAGUAAUAACAAUUAUGCGAGUGCUUUCAUUCAAUAAUGCCAUAUGCAAAUAUUCAACUAGAAUGAAUGUUCCAACUUGGUUUCUUAUAGAUCUUACAUGUACUACGUUACCAUGCCCCAACUACUUGCCUACAACAAGUGUGAUAUUGUCAUGCAAAUAUAUGCUAAGUCUCAUUCAUGCACAUGUCUAAGUCAUGUAGUUAUGCUAUCAAUCUCAAGGUCAACACCGUGUUAGUUACUAGGUCACAAUACCCUAUUUUCUUGUCUACACAAGUAUAUUAUUUAAUAUGUAAGAUGAUCACUUUACUAAACCGAUAAGUCGAGAUCCCCUAAGGGUCAUACCAUCAUUCAUGCUCUAACAUGCUUUCUAAGGUUGCAUAAAAGAGAAUUCACCAAAUAGGGCUAAUUCAUGCACAAGCUCACAUAAGAGAUUCUACUACAUAGAGCAUCAAAUUGUCUUUACAUAGCAUAUAUGUAAUGUUUCUCAUAAAUUAUCGCAUGUCAUUUUGAGUAUAAAAAACCAUUUAAUUGGAUCUUAAAACUAAAAGGAGGUUUAGGGGGGAGUUCACCUAUUUUGGUGAGAUCAAACCCAUCGGAAAUACUUCGAACUCUUUCGUAACGCCGAACGAAGUUGUCCCCUAAGAUUCUAGCACCCUAAGAAAAAUUCCAAAGGGGUUAAAAGUUACAAAACAACUACUUCAAAAAUUACACAUACAAGGUGUAAAAUAUACCUUGAGUCAAGAAGAACUUGAUCAAAGCCGAAAUCGAAGCUUGAAAAUUUCAAAUCCAAACUAUAAGAGUGUUCUACACUCAUCAAUUCCAACCCUAAAGCCUCAAAUCAAGAAACCCAAAAUAAAAUUCUAGAUUUCUCAUUUCUAGGUUUUAUCUCAAAAAUUCCACUAAAUCAAGAAUCAAAAUAGGGAAACAUGUUUCUAACCUAUCUAAAAGCUUCAAACAAGACUUGGAAUGAGCUAGGGUUGAAGAUCUCUCCUCCAACAAGCUUUUUACCAAGCUCCAAGCCUUCUCCAAAGGUGCAAAGUCCCCAAAAUGCAAAAUAGAGCAAAGAGGGGAGAUCAAAACCUAAAAUCCCAAGCAAAAAGGGAAGAAAAACUAAGGGAAAAAUAGAGUGGAGCUCACCUCUCCCUUUUCUAGUCGCAGCCCAAAAGCCCUUGUCCAAGGGGUGAGGGUGUAUAUAAGUUAUUGCGACAAAAGCGAAAAGAUCCUUCAAAAACUGCCAGACUGCAGUUUACACUGUGUACCGGUUCACGAAAAAGUGUAUCGUUACAAACUACUGUGCGCGCAAACCCGAGCCUCGGGUUGGCGGAAAACAACCCAUCUAUACCGGUACAAUCAUUAAGGUGUAUCGGUACAAAACCCGUUCCGGUACAACCAUUAAGGUGUACCGGUACACUUUCCUGCAGAGACAAACCCGAGAGCAACCCAAUAAUCUUCACUUUGGAGAUAUUAGUGCUAAGUUUAAACCUCGAUUCUCGAAAUACGAGCCAUAGGUCGGAACACUGUCGACGACCCUCCAGAAAGUCUGGAAAAAACUCAGAUCACAAAUCAAACACUCGAACCUCGCAAUUUGCAAAAGUUUAGUGUGUUACAAUUUGGCUAAAGUCCGGAUUACUUUACCGAAGUUUCGGUAUGUUACAUUCUCCACCCCUUAAAAUUAGUUUCGUCCGCGAAACUAACUUAAUUAACAUCUAGAUUUAUACCUUAAUCCAGAUUCUCGAAGAGAUGGGAAUAAUGCUCUCUUAUUGCACUCUCGAGCUCCCAAGUAGCUUCCCGAUCAUCGUGGUUCUUCCAACAAACUUUAACAUAUGAAAUCUCACGGAUUCCUAGUUUUCUUACUUCUCGAUCGAUGAUGUACGUCGGGAACUCUUCAUAAGUCAUAUCCUCUUGAAUCUCGGACGGUUCAAAUGAGAGAAUAUGCUUGGGAUCGUGAAUAUACUUGCGGAGAUUCGAUACAUGAAACACAUCGUGCACUCCCGCAAGCCUCGGUGGUACUGCUAACUUGUAUGCCACCGUGUCAACACGCUCCAAUAUCUCGAACGGUCCAACGUACCGGGGACUUAGUUUUCCACGGACUCCAAACCGUUUAACUCCCCACAUUGGGAUAUUUUUAGGAGUACGCUGUCUCCAACUGCAAACUCUAUAUCCUUUUUUCGCUUGUUGGCAUAGCUCUUUUGCAAGAAUGCGCCGUAGCAAGCCGUUGGCGGGCAAGGCGAACUUUCUUCUCCGCCUCCCGCACCAUAUCUGGGCCAAGAGUAACUCUCUCGCCCACAUCGCUCCAAUGAAUUUGAGAGCGACACUUCUUUCCAUAAAGGGCCUCGAAUGGCGCCAUCGCGAUAUUUCCUUGAUAACUAUUAUUGUACGCGAACUCCGCCAUCGGUAAAUGAUCAUGCCAUCCGCCCUUGUAGUCAAGUACACACGCUCGAAAUAUGUCCUCAAGUAUUUGUAUCAUCCUCUCCGAUCGACCAUCACUUUGAGGAUGAAAUGCCGUACUAAAAUCGAGCCGUGUGCCCAACGCAUCCUGUAGGCUCCUCCAGAAGUGAGAUAUGACCCUCGGGUCUCGAUCCGAUAUAAUAGACACGGGAACCCCAUGAAGUCUCACUACCUCGUCGAGAUAGACUUGAGCCAUCUUAUCUCCCGACCAUGUAGUAUGAAUCUAUAAAAAGUGCGCCGACUUCGUCAAUCGGUCUACUAUCACCCAAAUUGCAUCGUGUCCGCCUUGAGAUCGAGGCAAUCCGGUCACGAAAUCCAUUGUGAUAUUUUUUCAUUUCCAAACGGGUAUAGGUAGGCUUUGCAACUUUCCUACCGGAAACCGGCGCUCCGCCUUGACUUGUUGGCACGUAAGACAUUCUGCUACAAAUUCCCCAAAGUCUUUCUUCAUGCCCGGCCACUAAUAGUAUACUUUCAAAUCUUGAUACAUCUUGGUGCCGCCGGGGUGAAUACUAUAAGGAGAUUGGUGCGCUUCUUGUAUAAUCGCCUUGCGAAUGUCCUCAUUUUUAGGCACACACCAACGAUUUCUAAACCGGAGUGCGCCGUCGGUCCCAAUGCCAAAAUCAUCUACACUACCGCUCUCAACAUCACCCUGCAUCUUUUGGACAUAAGGAUCAGUAGCUUGUAGAUCUUUAAUCUUCUCCAACAAGGUGGGUUGAACCACCAAUGCCGCAAGUGUUGCUGGCAUUCCUGAAGCUACUACCUCAAGACCAAGUCGUUACAUCUCUUUUUGCAAUAAUGGUUGAGGUGUAAUUGCUGAAGCCAAGUUUUCUCACGAUUUUCUACUAAGUGCAUCGACCACGACAUUUGCCUUCCCGGUUGGUAUAAAAUAGUAACGUUGUAAUCCUUUAAUAGCUCUAACCACCGCCGUUGUCGCAUAUUUAACUCCUUUUGGGUGAACAAGUAUUUAAGGCUCUUGUGAUCCGUAUAGAUCUCACAAUGUUCACCGUACAAGUAAUGCCUCCAUAACUUUAGCGCGAAAAUAACCGCCGCUAGCUCAAGGUCAUGAAUCAGGUAGUUCUUUUCAUAAUUCUUCAAUUGGUGCGAAGCAUAAGCUAUAACUCGCCUAUUUUGCAUCAAGACACACCUGAGACCAACAUAGGAAGCAUCACUGUAUACCACAAUACUCUCCCCCGGCGUCGGUAAGGCAAGCACCUGGGUCGAUGUCAAUCUCUUCUUUAAUUCCUCGAAGCUCCGAUCGUAAUCAUCGCUCCAAACAUACUUAACUCCCUUGUGCGUGAGGCGCGUUAGUGGAGUGGUUAUUUUGGCAAACCCCCCCAUGAACCACCGAUAGUAACCCGCAAGUCCAAGAAAGCUACGGACCUCCGCAACACUUGUCGGGCGAGGCCAAUCUUUAAUUGCCUCUACUUUUUUCGGAUCCACCAAAAUGCCAUCACCCGAAAUCACGUGGCCUAGGAAAGUGACUUAUGAAAGCGAAAACUUGCACUUCUUUAAUUUUGCAUAUAGCUUCUAUUUUCGGAGUAUUUCCAACAUGGUCCUCAAAUGCUCCUCGUGUUCUUCCUCACUCCGUGAAUAAACUAACACGUCGUCAAUAAACACCACGACGCACCGGUCUAGCAACGGUCGAAUGACCCGAUUCAUCAAGUCUAUAAAUGCUGCCGGGGCAUUAGUAAGCCCAAACGGCAUAACCAUGAACUCAUAGUGGCCAUACCGCGUACGGUACGCCGUUUUGUGCACGUCCUGGGGCCGUAUCUUCAACUUAUGAUACCCCGACUGUAAGUCGAUCUUUGAGUACACCCUCGACCCUUGCAAUUGAUCGAACAAAUCAUCAAUCCUCGACAACGGGUACUUAUUUUUAAUUGUCACUUUAUUCAACUCGCUGUAAUCCACGCAGAGUCGUCACUUUAUUCAACUCGCGGUAAUCCACGCAGAGUCGAAAUGUGCAAUCCUUCUUCUUUCCAAAUAGCACCAAAGCUCCCCACGGUGACACGCUCGGCCUCACAAAGCUUUUAUCGAGCAAGUCUUGCAAUUGUGCCUUUAGCUCUCUUAGCUCUGUCGGAGCCAUUCUAUACGGAGCCUUCGAAAUUGGCGCCGCCCCGGGAAUCAAAUCAAUAACGAAUUUGAUCUCCCGGUCCGGUGGCAAUCCCGAUAACUCCGCCGAAAAUACAUCCGAAAACUCGCACGACAACUGAAUAUCACUAAGUUCCGGGUGCUCCUUUUGGGCUUCUACCAUUGUCACCAAAUAGGCUUCACAUCCACCCUUAAUCAUUUUUCUCGCCCUCGUCACCGAUACGGUCACCGCGAAGCGUGAGCUUUUACAUGCCUAAUAUACCAACUCUUCCUGAUUAGGCUCACGAAAUGUGAUCACCUUGCUUUUACAAUCUAUCACGGCAUAAUACUUGGAGAGCCAGUUGAUCCCUAAGAUUACAUCGAAUCCCUACAUUCGCUCUAGCACUAGUAGAUCUAUCAGCAUAAUCCAAUCACCGAUCUGUACUGGACAAGCCAAGCACUCAUCAUGAAUAUGAAACGAAUGCUCUGGAGCAUUUACCCACCAAUAAUCCUGAUUAUACGUGAUCUCCAUGCCAUGAGUUUUUGCAAAUGAUGCACCUAUGAACGAAUGUAAUGCACCUGUGUCGAAUAAAGCUCUAGCUCUAGUGCCUUUAAUCAAAAUUAUACCUGCCACGACAUCAUCUGGUGCUACAGGUUGCUCCUCCAUCUGAGUGGCAAAACCCGCCCACUCGGUGCUCUAGAUGUCUCCGGUUGACGCGAUGCAGAUGAGCGUCCAGCCGACAUCGCUGGGGGCAACCCCGCAAGCUAUCUCAGGGUGGAAGGAACUAAUGCCGCUGUCGGUGCAAACGAUCCCCAACUAGGGCACUCCUAGGCCAUAUGCCCCGGUUGAUCGCACUUGUAACACUUUCCUUCACGCUGCGGGCAGGUCGGCGGUCGAUGCUCACCGCCGCAAAUGAGUAGCGUGUGAGGUGGGUUAAUCAUCGGUUUGACUCCUAUGGGUUAUAUAGUCGACAUGUAUUCGGCACGUGUUUUUGCCUAUCGUAAUUGCUCUAUUCAUUGUUCAGCAUGAUUGAAAUAUGAAUUGGAGCUUAGUAUAUUGACUGUAGAUUCAUACAUAUUGGACUUGGAUAUAACAUAGGAGAAAACCAGUGAUUUGGACCUGUCACCUGCUUAACUACCGGAUUUAGCUUUAGGAGCCAUUGUUAUUUUGUAUCGCCGUAGUAUCAGCGUGGUAGAUACCCCAGAUAGUUUAGAUUACUAUUAUGCUCGUGAUGGGAUGCCAAGCCUAUUUUUACAGUAGUGUUUAGACUAUUCCGGAUUGUUGGAUGCUGUCGAGAUUGACGGUGGACCCAGAUUGCCAUUUUAGUAUCAGAUUAUGCUGAAGGCACGUGACUUGUUAGUUGGUAGACUAGUUGGACCCUGUGUACUUGACUAUAGCCUGCGAGAGCCUGAUUGAGCUCGACAGAGAUACGCUUGCAUACUCGGUUGGGUAGCGCCCAUGAGUGCCACUCCGGAGUCGGGCUUAGUGCUUCUGCGUUGAUGUCGAGGUGUCCUGUUUGGACUUGCUAUCCACUGACUGCUUAGUGUGGAGGUAGCUUUAGCUUCGACAGGAGAGACGGGCGUGUUCACAGUCCCUGGGACGGGUAUGAUUACAGUCCCGAGUGAGAUUGGGUCAGGUAUGACAUCUUCUACAGACUGUUAGUGUUAGAGCAUGAUAGUAUAGUGAUUUUUAGUUGUAGAGUUGUUCCAGCAUUAUUUAGUAUCCCACCUACCUUCUGUAGACUUAGUGGGUGGACCGAUGAUGUUGAGGGUGGCACCCACUAAGGACUACAUGUCUUUACAAUAGUUCUCACGCCCAGUUGCUAUUUGCUUUUGCAGAGCCUUCGGUUCCGGCUGCUGCAUCGUCCGAGAUAGAGCGUGGUAAGGGCGUUGCGAGUUAGAGCCCUACCAAACGAGCCGCCGAGUAGCACCAGCUACAGGUAGUUGUAGUUUUUGACUUCCUAUACAUACUGUUGUUGUAUCUCGCUUGGCGAGCUUUUGUUUACCGGAUGUUGUAUGUAUAGUGAACUUUAUUUUUCUAUCUGGUUAUACUUUGGCUAGCAGCUCUGUAGUGUUCCUGAGCUUUGGAUAGGAUUGGCUUCAAUAUUAGUGACUGGUCGACAUCUCUGGAGAGUGUCGAACUAAGUCGGAGUCAAUUCCGCACGAAUUGGAUGCAGAAUUGGACUCGACGCACUCAAUUAAGCAAAACUGGAGUUUUGCCAGUUUCGGGCGCCCAGAACAUUUUUAGGGUCGCCCAGAAACGAGUGUUGAAUUUAACUGAAACUGGAGGCCAAUUCGGAUCCCAUGUUCCGGGUGCCCAGAUGUGGGUCCGGAAAUUCGACAUCGUGAAUAUCGCUUGCUUCGAUGCGUGGCAGGCGGCAGGUGAGUUCCGCCGGAGCCAUUUACGGGCGCAGCACACCGUGAGCAGAGAGUCCGAGGAGCCCGUUUUGUGCAAGCUGGAUGUUCUGGUCGCCCAAAACAUGGUUCCGGGCGCCCAGAAACGCCCGUUUCUGCAGGGACACUGGAUAGCAGCUUCAGUUCCUGAGGCUUUUUGGAUCAUUCUAACUCACUAUAAAUACUUGGUAAACACCCCUUUGCUGCUCUUUUCCCCCCUUCUUCACAGAGAAGUCUCUUUUAGCAUCUCUACCCUCGGAUUUGCCUCAAAUUGCAUUAAACUUCCAUUGAUCCAGCUUGAUGGAGUGCUGAUUCUGUAGUUCUUCAGCGACGACCUCCAGUGUUUUGGCUCGUGCGCGAUGUAGGAAGGUCGGAUUUCGACGAAACUUGGUUUGCUGGAUUCUAGACUUCCAGAGGAAUCUACGAAGCCCUGAAUGGUAGAUUUUGGUUGAGGUUAGCUUGGUCGAACUGAGGUUUUUCUAGACUACUGUUGGCUUUGAGCUGAAAAUAGAAUUUUUGAGCUUUUCUUGAUGCUAUCUUUGUUGGCAGUGGAAUUUUGGACCUGAGUUUGAUCACCCCUCAGUAUUUGCUGAUUUUGGAACUGUUCUCACCUGAUUUGGAGAUCAUUAGGUGAGUUUUGACAUUGGAAUUGAGAAAUCCUAAGCUUAAGGCUAAAAUUGAUGAAUUUUAUUGGAUUUUGGAUGAAUUGUUAUAUCCAGAUCUUGAUGGGCUUUGUUGCUGGUUUGGAGGAGUUUCCAGCAGUGUUGCUUGUGAUCCGAGACCCUCUUGCUGCCAGGAGUUUCACUAGAGGUGGGUUAUCAUCGGUUUCGCUCCUAAGUGCAUGUUUAGUCGACGUGUAUAGUUCGAUUUUUGUAUAUCAUGCUUUAAUUCAUCGAUUAGCAUCUUGAAUGUAAUAUGAAUGUAGAAGCAUGCUGAAAUGAAUAUUUAUAUUAUACAUGUUGGACUUGAAAUUUGACUUAGGAGAAAACCUGCGUUUUGACCCGUCAUAUGUUUAAACUACCAGAUUUAGCUCUAGGAGCCGAGAUUCGAUUGUAUCGUUGCAGUAUUAGUGCGAUGGAUAUCUGGGGUAGUUUAGAAGGCAUUUACGCUCGUGCUGGGAUGCCGAGCUUAUUUUUCAGCAGAGUUUAGGCUGUUUCGGGUCGUUGGGUGCCGUUCGGGUUAGCGGUGGACCCAGAUUCUUGUUUUGGUCACAGAUUGUGCCGAGGGCACGUGGGUUUGGUUUGUAGGCCUGUUUUUACCCUGUUCACUUGACUUUGGCUAAUUGGAGCCUGUUUGAGCUCGACAUAGAUACGCUGCAUACUCGGUUGGGUAGCGCCCACGAGUGCCACUCCGGAGUUAGGCUUUGUGCUUUCGCGUUGGUGUCGCUCAUGCCGGUUGGACUUACUCUCCACGGACCAGUUAGUGUGGAUAGAGCUGGAUAGUCGCAACUCGGCAGGGACGGGUGUGUUCACAGUCCCAGGGACGGGUAUGUCUACAGUCCCGAUUGGAUUGGGUCAGAUUGGACAUUUCCUACAGUUGGUUAGUGUAGAGCAUGAUAGUGUAGUGUUUGAUAGCGGUAGAUUUUAUUCCUGCAUUUACUACUAUUCUUGCUCCCUUCUAUAGACUUAGUGAGUGGACCGAUGUUGUUUUGGGCGGUACCCACUGAGGACUACUUGUUUUUACAGUAGUUCUCACGCCCUGUUGUUACUUCAUUUUUGCAGAGCCAUCGUCUUCGGCUGCUGCUAUUGCUGAUAAGGAUCGAGGCAAGGGCGUCGCGAGUUAGAGCCCUACCCGACGAGCCGAGCUAGGGGUGCCCUACUACAGGUAGUAGUUUUGUUGGAGUUCAUGUACUUACCUACCUUUAACUCGCCAGUGCGAGUAGUUUUUGUGUAUCUUGGAUUUUGGGGUAUGUAUAUGGAACUCAGUUGGUUUUCUCCGUUUCUCCUAACCAGCUCUAUACUACUGUUUGUAGUAUUGUUUGAUUUACAGAUACAGCUAUCGCUUCGUAUACAGGAAAAAUUCCUUUGUAUACGGCGGAUUUGUCGGCGCGCCCGGGGAACGUGUAAUCCGGGGCGUGACAAGCUCUAUACUACUGGUUGUAGGAUUGUAUAUUUUACAGGUACAACUAUCGCUUUGUAUACAGGAGAAAUUUCUUUGUAUACGGCGGAUUUGUCGGCGUGCCCGGAAAAUGAGUAAUCCGGGGCGUGACAAUAUAUAUAUAUAGUAAAGGUACUAUGCUAUCGGAAGUAUAAAUUAGUUGGUACUUUCGAUUUUUUAGCCCUUGGAUCAAAAAUUAUACGGUUGGGAUGAUAGCAGUCCCCUUAGAGUUGAGUGGUCCCCCUAGGGUUGAGCGGUCCUCAUUGGUCAAUAAUAUUAAUCCAAUGGUUAGAAUAAUCAAUGGAGUUGAUCUAAGGGCUAAAAAAUCAGAAGCACCAACUAGUUUAUAUUUUCGAUAGCUUAGUAGCUCUUCUAUAUAUAAAUAUAUAUAUAUAUAGAGAGAGAGAGAGAGAGAGAGAGAGAGUUGAGCUAGAUCUCUAAAGCACAUGAAGGUAGGUGCUUUUGAAAGAGAUAUUUAGUUCAAUAAUAUAUAUAUUUAUUAUAUACUUAUACUUUAUAUAUAUAUAUAUAUAUAUAUACUAUAGUCGUCUCCGAUACUUUCGAACAAGUACGGGAGGCCCGGUGCUUGUAAGUUGUUUUCGAUGACUAGGACCGUUCCGAUUCGCACGAUCGCUCGUUAGGCUCAUGAUCUUCCUAUUGAGAACUAUCUAGAAUCAAUUUAGAUUUUUUUGACAGUAUUUACUAGCCGAUCAAAGAGUCUAAAAUGAUUUUACGGCGUGUGGAAUUUUUAAUGUGUCAACGGCUUGUUAGAGAGUAUCCAAUAUUACAUGAAUUUAAUAAAAAUUUACUUAAUCAAAGUAGCCGAUAUCAUUUCGAUGUAAAUUUGAAUCUUUUAUCACUUUUUUAUGAGAUUUGUUCAUUUUCUAGCGUUCAUUUUUGGUAACUGUUCCUAGACGCACAAACCGAAAUCAAAAAUAUAUGAAUUUGGUUUUCUAGUAGUUCGCUCCAUGGAUGUAAGUUUUAACAACUGAUCGCUGAAUCGAGAACUGUCCACAUUCAACAAGAUUAACAGAACGGGCCACAGCCCAUCCGCGUUACUUUCGACGCAUAGGAGCCUAGCUCUGUUAUUCUCUAUCUUUCUCUCUCUUAUAUUAUAUAUAUAUAUAUACUAGUUAUAGUCAUGUGCAAUGCCCGUCACAUUUAAUUAAAUUAAAGUUAUAUUUAUAUUUUAAAUUUAAAUAAUUAUUGAUAGUAUUAGUCUAUUUAUCAAUUAAUUUUUUUCUAACUUAAAUUUUUUUAAUUUGUAUCCAAAUUUAAAAAUUUGAAGUAAUUCUAAAUUUUAAAUUAAUGAAUUCAUAUUUAAAUUUAUGAACAAAACUCAAAAUUUGAAGUUAAUUUUGAGUCCAUAUUUGAAUAUAAAUGGUUAUAGAGACAUUGAUUUAUUUAACAUCCCAUCUAUUUUUCAAAUUUGAUAUAUUUUUAAGUUAAUUAAUUAUUUUCAAUUUGAAAUACUAUUUACACACCCAAAUAUUGAAAUUUGAAUUAAUUUCAAAUUUUGAAUAAUUUAAAAUUUAAAGUUGAUUUGAUAAACUUAUUUAAAUCAUUCUAUUUUUCAAACUUAAUUUUCUUUUAGUUAGUUAAUUGAGAGAUAGUGAAUACUAAAUAUUUUCAAUGUGAGUUGCGUAGAAUUUUUUUUUGAUGAGUAUGGAAUAUUUUUUUAUGGGGCACUUGUGAAAAAUAUUCAACAGUAGAUAUUUUUAGAUUGACAUAAAGUUGGAUAAGUAUGAAUUUUUUUUAUAUUCUCGUAAAUGAAAUGCAAUAUUUUUUCCUAUUAAAAAAAGGUCUGUCAACAGCUAUUUUAUUAAUAAUCCCAAAUCAAUAUAAAUUUGUGAAUCACAUUUAUUUACAAAUUUAAAAUUUUAAAUUAUAAAUUCUUAUAUUAUAUUUUAUUAAAAAAUAUCUCAUAUUUUAAAUAUUAGUAGAUAAAAUUUAGAUAAUUUUUAUAUAUUCACCUUUAAAAAAAUAUAAUUAAAUAUUAUAUAUGCGGAAGGUAUUAUGUGAUAGGAUAUUAUGUAGGCCGUAUUACGUGUGAGAAAGAAAAUAUUUAAAAAAUUCUUAAAUUGCAAAUAUUAUUUAUGAUAAAAAAUAGAUAUUACGUGGGCUACGGUUAUUAGAAGAUAAGGUGCGCAUAUAAAAUGUAAAAUUCAAUAUGCACUUUUUGAGGGCAAUUCAGAUAAAAAAAGUGACAGAUACUUAAAUCGUCAACUAUUGGAUUAAAUUCGAAGACUAAGAAUUAAUAUAUUUUAUGAUAAUUUAAAAAUAAAAUAUAAAUUGUACGGUUAUGAUUUAUUCUAUUAAACUUGAAUGAAUGAUAUUGCUAGUAUGCGAUUGGAAUUAUAUUAAUAGGGAGCGAUAUUUUGGGAAAGAAAAAAAUUUUAAAACUUGCUCUUUUAUAAGUAGUAUAUAUAUAUAUAAUAUUUACUAAGGAUCUAGGAUACUUUUACAAGCUAUCCAUCCCCAUCUUAUUGCUAUUCAACUUUUUAGCCAUUGGAGUCUACUUUUGUUUACAAAUAGCCCUUGGAUCAAACACUAUUCCACCUACCACCACCCUACCACCUACCUACCACCCAUCUAUCCAACCUUUCACAUCUUCUCCAUCCAAGGCUAAAAACACACAAGUACCACUGGCUGAUACUUGUAACAAGUAUUCUACCCUACUCAUAACUAUAUAUAUAUAUAUACUGCUCUAUAUAUAAUAUGACUACAUACUACGGUAUACUAUGAUAUAUAUAUAUAUAUCAUAUAUAUAUAUAUAUAUAUUAAUUACUAUAUUAUAGAUCACAGUGGGUUUAACGGAGCCCGAUCCGACGAUUUCGAAGUCGCAAGAUCGAAACGAGCCUGGAGCACGGAAGGCUCCAGUGCUUCCGAUCAUAUAUGGUCUCCGUGCUUCCGAUAAUAAUACUAGAUGUAGGUCUACUAUACCUUAUCGUAAGCACGGAGCCUUUCCGUGCGUUCCAGCUCGUUUCGCAUCUUGCGACUUUCCAAUCCGUCCGAUCGGCCUCCCUUACACACUUUGAUCUAGACGUAUUGAAGUACCCUACGAAAUAAAUUUACUGACUUUCUACGAUAUAUUUGCUUACGUGAACGCAAGGGCGCUCAAAAUCAACGGCUACAAAUAAAAAUCCUUACAUAAAAUGUAAUAUGAUGACACUUAAACAUUUUAACAAAGAGGGUCAUUGAUCUUCGUUCUAUACCUACUGUCAAAAAAUUUUUCUAUCAAAAUUUCACGCCGACUUCUGGAUAUCUUUUAACACCCGUUAAAACUUGCAAACGGCUCACCGCGCCAUGCUACAAUUUGUUGAUUUGAGUCCCAUUCGCAUCACUACGGCAAAUGAUCAAUCCGAAAGAAUAAUAAAUUUAUUUUCUAGUACUCCCAAACUACUCUAAAUCAAGCUUUAACGAGCCGAUCCCGACGAAUUCGAAAGUCGCAAGAUCGACAACCGAGCCGCGAAGCACGUAAGGCUCCGUCGCUUCCGAUUAGCAAUAGUAGCCUCACUCUAUACUAUAUACUAUUAUAUAUAUAUAUAUAUAUAUAGUAUUCUAGCCUAUCAAUCUCAACCCAUACCCGCUAGUGCUCGCGGAUUACACGCAAAUUUGCGGGUAUAGACACCAAUUUUUUCAACCUAAAAAAUUACAGAUAAAAAAUUAUGAAACUAUAUUCGUUUAGUGUCAAAUGAAUCCUCUACCAUUUUAGUAGCAAUAGGAAAUUAAUUUGAAAUACACACAAAUAUCCUCGAAGCCCCUAUGGUGGGCAAAACCCAAGCUUUGCUCGACGCGGUACUCAACCACCACCCACCCUCCUUCCCUCUCCUUUUUCCCCGAGUCCAACAAACGUUUUAAAUGUCCCAAUCAAUUCAUCUCUCUCUCUCUCUCCCUCCAUUACCCCGUCCCACCUCUCAUUUCUCCGCUCCAAAAGUUAAUCAUACUCCACACACCUCCAAAAUAAGAACCAUCCACCUCCUACCCCCUUAAUUCCCCUAUAUUUUUAAAGUUCGUCAAGAACCAUCCACCUCCUACCCCCUUAAUUCCCCUAUAUUUUUAAAGUUCGUCUCUCUCUCUCUCUCUCUCUCUCUCUCUCUCUCUCUCUCACUCUAAUUACUUCUUGCGUUAUAAUACGUUAUGCUUGAGUGAGACUAACUCUUUCUUGGCUCCCAUCUUGCUCUCUCCUUUCUCUUUGUGGACUCUUGUACGUAGUGGUUGUGAGCUCCCCCACCAAACAAGCCAAAUAAUCCCGAUCGAGAAGGCACCCAACUCACUACGUACCUCCUCUUCACUUGGGAAGAAGAAAGAGGGGGAGGGGGAGGGGGAGGGAGAGGAGACGGAUCAAGGUGGAAAUGGGCGGCGAGAGGAAGAAUUCGCUUCUUACUCUCGCCGGGCGGGUGCUGAAUUGUGCGGUGAGCUUUGUCGUGUUCUCCGUACUCGACGUUCUCGAUAUAAUCCUCUGCAUUGUCUACAAGCUCAUCGAUUAUGCCGUUGAGGCCGAGUGGAAGCCGUGCUACUGCUCGGCCUCCAAGGACAUGGUUGCCGGCAGCGGCAGCGGCAGCGGAGGCGGGCCAAAGGUGGUGCGGCUCUGCUCGUCGAAGCUCCAGCUGGAGGACGUCUCCGACACGCUGUACGCGCGUCCUUCAGUCGUCAUGGACGCUGCGAGGAAGGCGGGAACCACCGGCAGCGGCGCAUCAGUUGUCGUGAGCCCGGCACCGGCUGCGCCGACGUUCCGGGUCAGCACUGGUGUUGCGGAGAUGAUCCGAGGGAAGAUCGACCGGCAGCGGCCUACGCGGCCGGUGCCCUGCUGGUCCGACUGCUGCUGUAAGAUCUGCAAUUCGUGGAGCACCGCCGCGACCCCUUCCCAGCUUUACGUUCACGUGGAGGGCCCAAGAGGUAAAUGCUGCAUGCCCGAUCGAGUUAGGAUCCGGCCGGUAAAACGCAAACGGUAGUGUAAAUUUUAAAAACCUUACUUUUACCAACUAUAUAUAUAGUCGAUCGGUUUAGAAAUGAAAAAAAAUGCAUAUUGGUACGUAGUUAAUGAUCAAUGAAUUUGUGAUAUAUAUAUAUAUAUAUAUAUAUAUAUAUAUAUUGAAUCGAGAAAUGUGCACGCACAGUAUUGUCAUGCAUCUUUUUAAGUUUUUAAACACGUACUACUAGUCUGUAUAAUUUAAUAUAUUUAUCAAAAAAGAUUAUUGUUCUCAUUUUUAUCGGGCGAAAUAGCUAGUAGAUAAUAAUUUUUAAAAACAUUUUUAAAAGUGAAAAAUUUUAAUUAUUUUUUAAUUUCAUUUCUUAUUGCGAGAUGUAGUAUUUUGGAUGAAAAAAUCAAGCGUCUUAUCUAAAAGUUUACCAGGAGGUCGAACACGGGCAGCGUGCGUAAUGCAUGUGCUUAAUCCAACUAAACUAAAUGACGUCAAUGUUAUACGUACGUACAUUUUAAUUUGAAGAUUAUGUCGUCAUUAAAAUAUUUAUUUGGUGUUCCGGAGGGAAUAUAUAUAUAUAUAUAUAUAUAUAUAUAUGCUACAGAAAUUUUGCUCAUUAAUUAAUUUGCACAGAUGGUACGCAAUCUCGUAAUAUUAUUAUUUUGCGACUAUUAAUUAAAAUUGCCGAUCGACUGAUGAGUGGGCGUGCAUUAACGAAAUUGAGCAGACGGGGCGGCGGUGCCGGCGACGGAGGACGUGGUGUUCAUCCACGGAUUCAUCUCGUCGUCGACGUUCUGGACGGAGACGGUGUUUCCGGCAUUCAGCGAGCUGACAAAGUCGAGGUACCGCCUCUUCGCGAUCGACCUGCUGGGGUUCGGGCGCAGCCCGAAGCCGACGGACUCGCUGUACACUCUGCGGGAGCACCUGGAGAUGAUCGAGAAGUCGGUGCUGAAGCGGUUCGAGAUCGGGAGAUUCCACCUGGUGGCGCACUCGCUGGGGUCGAUCCUGGCCCUGGCGCUGGCGGUGAAGCACCCGGAGGCGGUGCGGUCGCUGACGCUGGUGGCGCCGCCCUACUUCCCGGUGCCCAAGGGGGAGGAGAGGGCGGCCGGGCAGUAUGUGAUGCGGCAGGUGGCGCCGCGGAGGGUGUGGCCGGCCAUCGCGUUCGGGGCGUCGAUGGCGUGCUGGUACGAGCACGUCAGCAGGACCAUCUGCCUGACCAUCUGCAAGCACCACCGCCUGUGGGAUCUGCUCUUCCGACUGCUCACCCGCAACAGGUAUGUAUGUGUGCUCUCAGCCAAUUACACACACCUAGCUAGCACUUAAUUAGCACUUGCCUUGCCUAAUUCCCUUUCCCUUUCCCUUUCCGUUUCCGUUUCCCUUCCUCUAGCUGUGCGUUGUGUUUGCUCUUUCUUCCGUCUCCAACCGUUUCGGUGGCUCCGCUUUUAUUAUUCUCGCCUCGUAUUUAUUCCUUCCCACGUUAUUGGCUUCUCACCCUCUAUUUUGCGCUCCACGUGCCCGGUCCCACAUAAAUAACAACCUGUUUAAUUCGUCCAACACUAGUGCUGCAGGUACACACAAUAUCGACGGAAGAAAAAUGCUACUAGCUAGCUAGCUAUAUAAGGUUAGAAUCAAAUCAAAUCAAAUCAAAUCAAAUCAAAUCAAAUUCGCAUGGUUGGAUUAAUGUGAUCCCUCUUAUUAAUUAAUAUUUAUUUAUUUUAUUUAUUUAUUUAUCACCUCUUUAAAUAUAAAAAUAUAAUAUAAUUAAAUUCAGCAAUACAACAAUUAACGACGUUUUAAUUAAGAGAGAUAUUGCGGAAAAAUCCAAAGCAUUUUUUCCUUUGUCUCGACGAAUAUUAAUUUAUAUAGAAGAUUCCAAAAUAUUAUUUUUCUAAACUGUUGAUGGGCAAGUUGAGAUGCAUGGUAUAUAAGAUUUUGUUUAAUGUAUACAUGCAAUUUUAAUAUAUAUGCUGUAUAUAUAUAUAUAUAUAUAUAUAUAUAUAUAUAUGAUGUUAGCAGAUAUAUAGCAAUGCGGCAAUAUAUAUAUAUGGUUCCCUUUUCCUGAUUCAAAAGUUAAACGGUGAUAUAUCGAUUGCAUGUCGCUAAUUAAAAACUAGCUAGCUAGCUAGUAUAAUAUAGUUAGUUUAAAUCACCGGCCGAUCGAAUUAGUAAAAUUUUGAAUCAUGUACAUUUUAAGCACCUGUCGACUUUGGCUUUAACAAUCAUCGUAUGAUAUGAUUUUUUGUAGUUAUUGCCAAAUCGAUCAUACUUGUGAGCCGCCCGCUCCGUUUGAAUUAAAUGGUAGACAGCACCAAAUAAUUAAGAAGUUAUUGGAAUUCAUUUGAUAUUUUAUUCUCUCACCCACACAGUAGCAAAUUCGGUUUUCCCCGUGGGGCCACUGAGUAUAUAUAAGGUCUGCUUUAUCUGUUUUGCCUCUGGUUUCAAUGGCAACAAUAAUUACCGUGCUUGAUAAAAAAUAAUUAAAAAUUCUGCUGUAGACAGAAAAUUUUGAGCCUCCAAACAAGAAAUUCCGACUGAUACUUUCGAUUAUAUAUACGCGACACUAACUGAAUGUAAUAGUUAUAUGUAUAUAUUAUUAUAUAUAUAUAUAUAUAUAUAUAUAUAUAUAUAUAUAUAUAUAUAUAUGAAAUAUAAUAGGAAUAAAUCUUUUAAUCAGGUUAUAGCAUUUUAGGUGAUUGUUACGCCCAAAUGGUUAAGAAAAAUUAAACGUGCUAGGGUUAGAAUAAUCAUAGAAUGUGUGACGCCCUAGAAAAUGGGGUAUUACAGUGGGUAUUAGAGCCAAUUACCAGCCGAAAAUAUUAGAUAAAUGUCGGCUGAGCCAAAAUUAUAUAGCGAGCUCAUCGGCAGAUCAUAGUUGUGGGUGGAGCACGACUCCCCACAAGGUCAAACGAGACCCCACAAGGUCAAAUGAGAUGAGUCUCAAAUCGCCUAUUGCUUGUGAAUAUGUUUAAGCCUAUCGAGAACGUCGAUAUAAUAGCACUGAAAUAGUUUUAUAUAUGAGAUAUAAUAAAAUAAGAUCAUUUUACCCGAAUAUAGCAUUUUAGGAGUGGCUAGCUAGGUUAAUUUAAGAGAUUAGGAGAUUUAAGCAUGCUAGGACUAAAUGGGCGACUCAUUGGAAAGUGGGGCAUAAUAGUUGAGGAUUGUGGAUCUAAAGUUUCAAUUUUGUUUGUGUCCAAAAGUUAUAAUUUUUUUCCUUAGAAUUUAUUUUAUUUUAUUUUUUGAGUUUUAAUAUUAAAGAAUAUUUUGGAUGAAGUUAAAAUUAAUAUGUGAUAACAGAUCAAGAACUUUGUAGCAAGAAACAGUUGGAAAGUUCCCUAUUAAAAUUUUAUUAAUUAGUUUUUUAGUUUCCCCCGCCCUUAUUUUGAACGGCAGCUUACGAGCUGUCAGAGCCGCGAAGAAAUCGAUGGCCUGACAUAUAUGGUAGGAGUACGUUACGUUUACUUUGCGUAACGACCUCUGAGGUCCUGCCGUGGGAGUGCGGGACGUCGGGUACGAAAUGCGGGAAACAGCUUCGGGUUUCGUACCACCGCGAUCGAGUAGGAAAACCAAGUCAAAUUUUCCACAUAUAUAUCAGGUAGGUUAAUUUCUAAUUGGGAGACGUUAGAUCGAGGAAAAAUUCUAGAAUGCAACGGGUAUAUUAGUGACGUGGCGUAACAAACCAAUCAAAUUAAUUCUUUUAAAAAUAUAUGUCCCAUCAUGAUUGUAAAAAAGUAUUUUUAUUGUAUUUUUGUUUGAAAAGAAGGAAUGUGAUUGGCUUGUUAUUGAUGACGUGGUGCAAGUGUGACAGUGUAGAAUUCCUCUAGAUCGAGACACGUAAAAAUAAGUAAUAACCGAAAGUAAUGUCAGUGGAAACAUAUAUAUAUAUAUAUAUAUGUAUAUAUAUAUAUAUACACAUAUAUAUAUAUAUACAUAUAUAUAUAUAUAUAUAUAUAUAUAUGAUAUAUAUAUAUAAUAUAGAGUGGGCAUAUAUAUUAUAUAUAGAGUGAAGUGAGGCUACUAUGCUAUCAGAAGUCGGAGCCUUCCGUGCUUCCAGCUAGUUUUUGAUCGUUGCACUUCGAAUUGUCGAUCGGUCUCCGUUAAACUUGAAUUCUAUGAGUAUUUGGGAGUACCUACAAUAAUGCGAUAUGGUGCGUUUGCUUCGUUUAACGGAUAGAAGAGCUUCAAAUCAACUAAAAUUUUUUGUUUAAAAAAUCUUUUUAAACUUUUAAAAUAAAAACGAUCUAGACUCUAGAUCCAAAUAUAAAAAAUUGUAUUAUCACUUUUUUCAAGGAUAGUUAUUUCCAGCCAUUUAUUUUUCUGUUUCACUUGAUGGACAGAGAACAAUAUCUGAAAAUGUGUGUUGAAAUUUGGAUUUCCAGGAUAGUUUAAGUAGUUUUAUGAUCUGUGUUGUAACAGUGCCGAUCAUCAAUUUGGAAGCCCUAUAUCAAAACAAAUCGGUAGCUAACGGCUCGUUUUACUACGAUAGUUAUUCUAGCAAAACCCUAUAUUAUAUAGUAUAUAUAUAUAUAUAGAUGAGAGGAGAGAGAGAGAGAGAUGAGGAGAGGAGACGAUGAGAGAGAGAGAGAGAGAACGAGAGAGAGAGAGAGAGGGAUGGAGGAGGGGAGGGGAAGUUGAGCUGGGAAUACUAUCGGUAGCAAACGCGGCUCCGUGCACCAUUUGUUUUCGAUGAUGGGAGCCUCCAAAUCGACGAUUAGUGCCGUUAAAAAUGCAUCAGUAUUACACUUGAUAUGGUAUUCUGAGAAUCAAAUUUCAUGCUUUUCCGAAUAUUUUCUCUUGUUCACUCAAGUGGGCGGUAUAAUGAGAUGGCUAAAAAUGAAUAUCAUCUACAAAAGUGAUGAUAGGAAUUGUUCUAAUCAAGGAUCGAGGUAGUGAGAUCUUGUUCUAAAUAGUUUAAAGAAUUUUAAAAUAACGAAAAUAUUCAAUUGAUUGGAUAGGUUACACGUAAACGAGAAAACCCUAUAUUUGACCAUUAAAAUUUACAAAUUUUUGAAACCCUUUGAAUCUAUUAGGUCAGAUGGAUGCGUCGGAGAAAGAUUUUGAAAUUAAUUUCGAGAUACUUCAAAGUGGUAUAGAUCAUGAUUCAACCGCCAGGGCUUACCGAUUAUCGAUUUGGAGGAUCUAAUCAGCUGAAAUUUAAAUGGAUGGCACAGGGGAGCCGUUGCUAUCGAUAGAUUCUACCUCAAACUUCUAUAUAUAUAUAUAAAUAUUAUAUAUUAGUCCGGCUAGGGGGGAUACUAUCGGGGAUAGCGCACAAGGAUUUGGUCAUCAAGUUGUUCUGCCGUUUCUUACAUUUACCUUUUUAUCAUUUUAUCCAUUGAUUAUACUAUUCAACGCAACACCCAUCAACAUAGAAGGACCCCAUCCAUCCUAACUAUACAUUUUUUAAUCCAAAAGGACAGCCAAAACUUAAUGUACCAGAUAUGGUACUAUUAAUAGUAUUCCAGCUAGUUAUUAUAUAUAUAUAUAUAUAUAUAUAUAUAUAUAUUAAUAUUAUAUAUAUAUAUAUAUAUAUAUAUAUAUAUAUAUAUAGGCUUGACGCUAGGAAUACUCUCAGAUAGUAAAAUGAUUGCAUAUUUACUAUCGAGUUGUUUUCGAUCAUAGAGCUUCCAAAUUGACGAUCGGCUCCGUUGAACAUGAUCUAUACCACUUGAAGUGUUUAGAAAUCAAAUUUCAAAUCUUUUCGACAUCAUUUGCCUAAUGAUCAAAGCGUUUCAAAAUUUGUAAUUUUAAUGGUGGAUAAGAAACGUUUUCUCGUUUAAUGGUGUAAAGAUAUCCAAAUCAAUUGAAUUUUUGUUAGAAAAUUCUUUAAACUAUUUAAAACAAGAUCUAUACUCUUGAUCUUGAUUACAAGACUCCUAUCAUCAUUUUUUAAAGAAUAUUCAUUUUCAACCAUUCAUUUUCUGUUCACUAGAUGGAUAAAAGAACAAUGUCGAAAGUGCGUGAAAUUUAAUUUCUCGAUAGUUUAAAUGGUUUAGAUCAUAUUUAACGGAGCCGAUCGUCAAUUUGGAAGCUCUAUCAUCGAAAACAACUCGAUAGUAAAACGCUCCGUUUACUAUCGAGAGUAUUCUAGCUCAACUCUAUAUAUAUAUAUAUAUAUAUAUAUAUAUAUAGAUAUAUAUAUAUGCUCACUCAUGAUUAAAUAUUAAAAUAAUCUUUUGAAUAUUUAGACAGUACUGGUUUAUGCCGCUUCGUUAAUUAGGUGCUAGGUGAUCUUUUCUUUUCUUUUCUUAUCUUUUUUUUGAGAAAAAUCUCUUUAUGAAUUACCAAGAUAUAUAAUUGUGCCAAAAUAUUAGUCGAUUUUGUAUUGCACUAAAGUGACGUACAAGGGUUCAAUUACACCAAUCUCCUAAGGCUCUAUUCGAAAGUGGGUUAUUCGGUAUAAAUAUUUUCUUAUGUGAUUGUAAGAAAGAAAUUUAAUUUCUGCUCCUUGAAAGAUUUUAAUAUCUAUGAUUUGGUAGGAUAACGUAUUUCACUUAUGAGAUAUUUAUCUUAUCCGAAAAAAUAAUUUAAAGGCUGAAUAUAAUAUUUAAUUUUAGACAUUUGAUCAUGCUCCUUAUCUACCAAACAUACAAACUUUUUAAAUAAAUUAUGAAGAUAUACUAAAUAAGAUAUUCGUACAUCCAAAUAAUGCCUAACUGUAUGAAUCUCGCCAAUAGUCCUAUUUACUUCUAAGUAAUAUUAGUAGGCAUAGUAGUACUAUGGGCAUGUUUUAUUUCGGGAUAAAGAGCGAGCAAUUAACUAAAGUUAUCCCCUACUAUUCCAUCACACCUUUUAAAGGAAAAAGAAAAAAAACUGAAUAGUUAUUCUGAUUAAACCAUGGUAUUCUAAAUAAUCCAAAAAUAAUCUCAAAAUAAAUUCUCCACAUUUCCAAUGGUAUAGGGCUAUUCUUAAUUAUGAUCGUCUUAGAUUAUUUCGGACAAUUCAAGUAAGAAAAAUGUAUGCCUAUAUCGUAUAUUACAUAUAUAUUUAAGUAUAUUAAUUAUAGAGAUAAUUUAAUGAAUGUUCCGUUACUAUAAUAUCGUUAUACUCUCCUAAAUUUAAUAUUAUUAUAGUGUCCGGCUACUAUGCUAUCGGUAGCACGGAGCGCUUCGUACUAUCAAGUUGUUUUUGAUGAUACGGCUUCCAAAUCGACGGUCGGCUCCGUUAGACUGAUCUACACUAUUGAAAGUAUUUGAAAACUAAAUUUUCGAUUUUUUCGACAUUAUUUGACUAGUGAUCAAAAGAUCUCAAAAUUGACAAUUUUAAUGGUCGAUGUGGUAUGUUUGUGAGUUUAACGGUGUAAAACAAUCCAAAUGCUAUGAAAAUUUUAUAGAAAAUUCUUUCCACUAUUUAGAGUAAGAUCAGUAUAUCUGAUCUUGAAUUUAAAUCUUUUAUCAUCGUUUUUCAUGAGAUUUUUAUUUUUAGCCGUUCAAUUGUAGACUACUUGAUUGAUAGGUAAAUGAUAUCGAAAAAUUAUGAAAUUUAGUUUCUAAAUACUUUCAAUAGUGUAGAUCAAGUCUAACUGAGCCGAUUGUCGAUUUGGAAGCCGCAUCAUCGAAAACAACUUGGUAGCACGGAGCGCCGUGCUACCGAUAGUAUAGCAGCCUAGUUCUAUUAUUAUAUAUUCCUAUUAAAUGGUCAUGAAUAUCAUGAAUAUUUUCCUAAUAGUUAGUCUCUAUCCAAAAAUACCCUUCAUAAUUUUAAAAUGCCAAGUUUACUCUUUAUCCAUUAUUUAUUUAUGCUCCUUAAAUUUUCUAUCUGUUGAUAUUCAAAACGUUUCAAAAUUACUCUCAAAAUUUUUUGCCGAUAAUUUUCACCAUCAUGUAUAAAUCACACCGAUAAUUUAAAUUUGAAUAUAAAAUUUAAAUUUAAAAUUCAAGAUCUAAGUUUAAAUUUUGAAUUUGAAUUUAAAAUUUCAAGUCUAUUGUGAAUAUAAAUUCUAAUUUGAAAUUCAAAUUCAAAAUAUGUUCAUAUUUUGAAUCUGAAUUUCAAACGGAAAGUUUGAAAUUAAAUCUAAAACUAAUUCAAAAUCUAGAUUUGGAAGUAAAAUUAAGGACACAAUCUCUAUUUGAAUUCAAAAUUGAAAUUGAAUUUAAAUUCAAAUCUAGAAUUAUAAUUUAAAUUUAAAAUUUGAAAAAAUUAGGUUUAAAAUUGAAAUUCAAUUCAAAUCUAGAUUUUCACUUUAGAGAAUCUAAGAUUAAAAUUUAAACUAAAGUUUGAAUUAAAAAACUAACUAUAACUUUUGAGACUAUUUAAGGAUAAAAUUUAUAUUUUAAAACUUAAUUAGCAUUAAUUAAAUUAGUCUCAAACUAAGGUUAGGGUAACACUCCAUAGUGUGAGAUAAUGAGGGACGAUUAUAUUGGAAGGUUAUAUGUGAUAUUGUAACACCGUGUGAUGUAAUGUAUACUAUAACAAAUUGUAUUAUAAUAAAAAGAACAAUAAUCUAAUUAUCAUUAUCAUUACUACUGCUACCACACACCACCACCAUUGUAUUAUUAUUACAUGAUUCUACAAAAAAAAAAUAGCAUUUAUGUUGUAAGAUAUAAUGAUAUGUUACAAUUUAUCUUCAACUGUUUACUAACUACAUAUAUAUUUUUCUAUUAGCCCCCACUAUCCUGGAGGUAAAUACUAAAUACAAUUUAAUUAUACGUAGGAAUAAAUAAAAUUGAAAUACACAUAAUUUUACACGUAUUUCUAUCUAUUAUCGUAGAAUAAUUAAGUUUCUCAAAUAACAAUAUUUCUUAGGAAAUUGUCUUAAAACCAAACAUAGUCUAUAGGAAUAAUGUGAACUGUGAAUAAGAAUCUUAAGGAUCUAUAUAUGGAACCAUUCUUACACAUAUAUUCCUCAAAAUUUAAUAUUAAUUUUAUUGCUAAACUGCUAUUUUUGUAAGUUAAUUACUACUAGAUCUACAAUCCAAACUGGAUUGCAAUAGUACAGUACCCUUAUUUAAAGAUCAAAUUAAUUUUCUCUACUAACCCUAGCCCCUGUGUGGAUCAUUGUUCUCUUCAUUGGGAUUUUAGACAGUGAAAAUGAAUUUCCUUUCUUUCGCAAUUCGCAUCGCAUAGAAAUUAAGCAGUAGGAAACUCAUUUUACACUGAUUAAUUAGCCUCGCGGCCCGUGAAAUUUCUCUAUAUAUGGGUUUACGUAGUGGAGUUUUUUUUUUUUUUUUUUUUUUUUUUUGAGAGAUAGGUACGUAGCACGCUACCCGCUUCGUUUAUUUCAUUUAGAAAUAAACUUAGCUAGAAAUGUGAAUCAACUAGAAUUCGAAGUUGGGUCUCGGAUACCAACCACUAAACUCUUUGCCACUUGCUCUAUAUAUGGGUUUACGUAGUGGAGUUAAUUUGAUGAACUAUUUAUUAAUGUGCUGUACAUGGUACAAAAUUAGUUGCAAUCAAUUCUGGUACCAUAUACAACAAAUUAAAAGUUACCUACCUCUUUUAACGAUUGUUGACAAGUUACUUAAUUAGCGUCUUCGAGUCCAGUGAGGAACUUAAAACUAAUUAUAAGAAUGAGUAAACUUUAAGGAAACUAAUUUUUCAUCGUUUACUUGUUUGUAUAACCUAUAUAUAUACAUAGAAUUGCCCAAACUAUAGAAUAACUAAUUAAUUGCUUAGAAGCUAGCUAGCUAUAUGUUGACGAUCUCUUCACCUAACCGAAUAGUAGUGUAGACCCAAAAUAUGUGAUUAAUUUUACGUACAUAAGCAAACUGAAGAGUGUGGGCAUGAAAGAAGACCGGAAGAAACUAAAUAUUACUACGCAAGGUGAUCGAUCGGGGAGAGCUAUAGCUAGCUAGGUGUGAAACUGCAGGGUGGGUUUAUCAUGAAUUUGCAAUUAAUUAAAUCUUGAGCAAUGCUCAUAUAUAUUCUAAGCACACGUACAAGAAAAAAAAAAAGAAAAGGAGAAGAAAUAAAAAAAAAAAAGAGCAAACGUACGGUAGGAGUAAAAUCUUAAAUCUUACUUAUUUAAGGGCCGGGUCAAUAUUUUUUCACUAGUUUUAUUAUCAUUUUUUAAAUAUUAUAAAUUUAAAAUGCGUGUCCUAGUUAAUUUUUAUGUGGACGAGCGCAUAAACUUAAUGGUGCUCUCCUUCCUUUGGGAUGUACGUAUAAUAUUUCUCUUAAAUUUUAGACCUCUAGCUUUGUAGCUAGCAGGCUGUUGAAAAAAAAAAAAAGAAAAAAAAAAAGAGGUUAGAGAAAAACCCCACCCACAGCUAGCCCACAUAGGUAGAUAAAUUAAAACAGAAACAAUGGUAAUUAAUGAGGGAGGUGAAAAGCAAGGGACUUGCUAAAAAAUUGGCCCAACAUAUGGUAAUGAGUAGUAUUAUUAAUUAGUACAUCCACUUCUACGGAGCCCGUUAAAUUGAGCAAGUACGGCUGAAUUCUGACGCUCAAGGUGAAAAUGGUUGUACAUUUAUCUAUUAAUAUUAACGCAUCUCUCACCGUCAAAACCUUUUCUGUCAAUAAUACAAUAGAUAUAGUUAGUUCCUGUUUUAUACAUAUAUAUAUAUAUAUGGAUCAGUACCUAAUCUAUAGGCUUAUACUAAUUUUAGGGUAUGUUCCGUUCGCCCUUCUUUCAUUCUGGAAUCGGAACGAACAAAUUCGUUUGUCCGUGUUUAGUAUGCGAAAUUUUCAUUCCGAUUUUGAUUUUCGGAUGAAUGAAAAUCUCCCAAAUUACCCUUUUUUUAAUCCGGUCUAGAAGGCCGGAUUGAAAAUUGAAUCGUGGCGGAAUGAAUUUGUUAGGAUUAAAUUUACCCUUUUUAAACUUAUUUUUUUAAUUAAAACAUACAUAAUUUUAAGUUUAAAAUUUAUAUUUACAAAUUUUAAUUUUAACUUAAAUUAAAAAUUAAAAUUCAAUCAACCAUUUCGAAUUUAAUUUAUAAAAUUUAAUUUGAAUCCUAAAGUUUUAUUCAAUUUUUAUUCAAAAUUUAAAUUAAAUUCAUGGAUUCAAAUUGAAAUUUAAAUUAUAAUGUUAAGUUUGAAUUUGAAUAUUUCAAAAUUUAGUUUUAUAUUUUGAAUUCUCCGUUCAGUUUUCAAUUUUAAUUUUUUAAAAAAAAUAUAUUUAAAAUUUUGACAUCAUUUUAAAAUUUUUACAUAAAAUUUUAAUACUUAAUUUUCAGUUUGAAUUUACACUGAUAUAUUAUAAAAAUAAAAUUGAUAUAUUAAUUUAAUUAUGUUUCUGAUAUCUAUCCGAAUCAAGCACCAGCAAUGAUUUAUUCCGAUUCCGAUUCAGACGGCGAUCCAAACAGAAUGAGAUAGUGACUCAUUCCGAUUCCGUCUCCAGCUUAUUUUCCCUCCGACUUCGAUACCGAUUCCGACUUCGAACCAAAUACACCCUUAGAGAAAGAAGUCUAUGUACCGGAGUCAAAUUCACAACUACUGCAGUGGAAAGAUUAGAUUGCCGGCACUAUAGUAAUAUUAAAUAAAAAUAGUAGAUUAAUGGUAUUUUUGUAAUAGUAAAUAAAAAUAGCAGAUAAUAGCUAGGAGUAAACAAAAAAUAUUGUUGUUGUUAAUAAGGGAGGCAAAAGACAACCCAAGUUAAUUAGUUGGCCCAUGCACCAAUCCGAAAGAUAAUCAGAUCUAGACAAACAUGCAUUUUGUCUGAAAAAUUGGGUUCUCAUAAUUCACUUUGUACUGAUUAAAAUUCUCUGUUUGGAUUCGGAUAUAAAAAUUCAGACAAACUGGGCCAAUGGUCCGAGUUUGGACUAACAGCUUAAAUAAUAAACUACCUUGAAUUAUAUUAAACUACUGCUUAGUUAUUUCAAGAGAUAUAUGAAUUAAGUAUCUCUAAGAUUAUAAUAUUAAUUAAAUCUAGCUACUACAAUCCUUAAUUUGUAUUUUUUUUUUCUUUUGCAUGUGAAAUGAUUUUAAUCAAAUAAAAAUCGUUAAAAAAAUUAAAUUAAAUUUUUUCCUAAUUCAAUUUGAGAAUUAUCUAAUAAAAGAUAUAAAUAUCGAUCGAGUUGCUGAUCUUUAUGGCGUUGUUUGACUUUAUUUAGAUUUGAAACUAUUUGACUUCAUUGUGGUAUAAGUAAAUAUGAGAAUUUGUGGUUUAUUAAUUUCUAAUUUUAAAAAAAAAAUUGUCAAAAUGGGCGCAAAAUUAGAAAAAAAAAAAUUACAAUAUAAUUUUAUUUGAUUUUUUUUUCAAAAAAUCAAUUUAUAAUAAUUUCAAUUCUAAUGAAAUAAAAUAAAUAUAUAAACUUUAAAUCAAAAUUAUAAAAGCAUUUAAAGUACGUACAAAAGUAUUUUUAAAAUGCAAAAUAUCGGGUUAUUAUUGAAAAAAAAAAAGAAGUGACAGAACUAUAAAAUAAUUCACUCUUCUAUAUACAGUAUAGAUAUUAUUAUUAUUAUUAUUAUUAUUAUAGAUACUAAUAAUAAUAGGUAUCGAUGGAUGGAUGGAUGGAUAGAUGGAUGGAUAUACGUACGUGGCAUGCAUAUAUACAAGUGGGUCCAGAUCCGGUUUUAAACUGGGUCUGAUCAUUAAUUUGAAUAUAUAUAUAUAUAUAUAUAUAGUGUAUAUAGUGUAUGCGCUAGCUAGCUGUGUGAAAAUUUUUUAUUAUCCCUAGCUAGCUAGUAAUUAUCGGACCCCGGCCGGCUUGAUGGGUACGUGGGUCGGUAGGUGAAUUUUUAUUCUUGCACACAAAUUAAUUUUAAGUGUUGAGGUGCCGCGCGGCCAUUAAUUAGCGACGAAUCAUUAAUCCACGAGUGUCGUAAUCAAUGAACAGCAUGCAUGUAGCUAGCUAGGCACGAGCAUAAUUAAUUUGGAGGGUGGAGAUAGUUAUGUAUGCUGCCUACCUGGAUGUGAUGAAUUUGAUUUAUGACAGCUAAGUUCGUUAGGACGGUGGUGGAUCCGCUCGCGAGUAAUUGCACGCGAAUUAACACCUCCCACGACCCAUUUUUUCACCGAAUCGGCCGUUUCGAUCGCGUGCGUCCAUCGAAAACCUAAUUUCUUUCUGAUUCUAUUAAUUGUUCAUAUAUAAGAGACAUCUAUCUUUAUACAAGGGAGAGAUCGGAUAAUUAAUUCGGUACAUGGUAUAUAUAUACAUGGAGACAUCUCUAUAUAGUAUACAAUUAUUAUACGACGAAAUUUCUUUUCUCCGAUCGAUAAUAGUGAAGAUGUAAAUGAAAAUAUUUAUUUAUAUAUGUUGACGCUCCCGCAAACUCAAGACGGGUCAAGCACCACAAGAGUUUGGGCAAAAAGUACUAAUUUCUUUGAAUAGUGUAAGAUUUGGACAAAUGUACUGAGAUUUGGUGAAAAAAUCGGUAAGCUGUUGAACGGACGAAGCAAAUGGUAAUGCUAUCGUGCCAUUAGUAUAAUAACGGCGAAUGAAAUUGCGACUCAUUUUGAUAUGGUUGGUGGGUUCGUGAAAGACAUGUUAUCCGCAAUUUUAAUCGCACUUUGAUUAUCACAAUAUGGUUGUGUUGGAGCAGAGUAGAGGGCACCGAGGUCAUCAAAGAACUAUCCAAGCCAUAUAAUUUCAGAGGUUGCAGAGGGUGCCAGGUGCAAGGAGAACUAAUGACCAGAUACUAGCACGAUGAAGGGCAACAAGUUCCGUAGUCAUCGCAUCCCGCCAUUCAAUAAUGGAAGCGGUAUACGAUACAUUUGUGGUUCCCAGAUAUCAGAAAUAGCUGCAAGAAAUUAAUGUAUGAUAAUACAAAAAAAUGCAGGUAGAGUCAAUAGAACCGACAAAUUAUUUUGGACGACGAGUUCUCGAUACACAAUGGUGGUCGGAUCAUCCGAUGAGGCGAUACUUGUUGGGUCCUCAUGUGGUCCUCAUGUGGUGGUGCUUGUACAACAAGAAAAUCUAUAGAGAAUAGAGCCGGUAAAGGUGAGAAGAAGUAGCAGUUGAGGAAUCAGUUGGUUAGGAUUCUUCGGGAGAAGAAAUAGUGGCUGAUGAAAUGUUGAAGCGAAAAAAGAUCAACUAUAAGCAUUGAAAUGGAAAUGACGUCAGCACUCAAACUAGAUUGAACAUAAUUGGGUAAAUGUUCGAGAAAAGAAUGAUAUCUUGAGAAAUAUGCAUGUGACGAGCAAUAGGAUCAUAACAUCGUUGUGUUCAAGAUAUAGCCUAAGAAAACACGAAUAUAUAAUUUCAGGGAGAGUUUGGUCAUUCAUGUCAGGGUGGGAGAACAAAACAAGUGUACACACACACACGCGUGCGCACACACACACACACCCCGGGGGAUAUGGCAGAUAAGAGACUACAAGGCAUGAUAUAAACUAGACACAUAUGUAGAGAAAGCAUCAACCCAAAAAUGUUAAGGCGUAGACCCAUCUAUAAGAUGAGAGUAAGCAGUUUUAAAGAUGUCUCAUAUCAGUGCUUACGCUCAGCAAUGUCAUUUUGUUGAUGCACAUACAUGAAAGUUGUGGCAAAGUAUCAUGUUUAGCAAGGAGUAGAGGAAACUCAUUCGAAAAUACUCAUGCAUGCUGAUCUCUCCAUUUUUUUUUUGGUUAACGUCGAACCAAGUGGGCCCAAAGAUAACAAUAACAACAUCGAAUGCUCCACUUGUCUUGUCUAGCACUAUAACUUCUAAAAGAAUUGGAAGGUAUAGAUGAGAAGAAGUAGACACUAAUGCAGGUAGAGAAGUUGUAGGAUCACGAGCAGCGAGGACAAUAAGCAUCGCAGAAAUAGAGGAACUUAGAACUUGAAGGCAUGUCUCUGCAGCAAUUAGUUUCGCCAGAGCUGCAUCAAUGGUGAGGAAUGGAGUUCGAUGGAGAAGUUGACCACGCAAGGCUUCAAACUUAGGUAGCAAGUGCAUAAGGAACUAGAAUAAACAUUGUUGAUUGUGCACUUGCUUUUGCUUGAAAGCACACUGACAAGCUGAGCAAGUGCGGCAUAAGGGUAUCCAUAGUUGCUAUUUGAUGCCAAAGUGCCUGCAUAAAGUCAUAGAAAAUCGAAAUUAUGCGCUCCUCUUGAUGAGCUGUGGAGAUUGUGUCAUGCCUUGAGUCCGACCAAUUGGACCCGCUUGGACAUGUACAAUAGAUCCACUGGACAAGACAAGUUUUCCCCUACCCAUACGAAGCAGAAACAUACAGCAACCUGUACAAUGCCAUAUAUGAAAUAGUUAUAAUAGAGCAUUAGCGUAAUAUUUCUAAAUUAAAACCACUGCAAACGUACUCAUUUAAAGUUUACCAAACUUAAUACAUUCCAAAAUAUUACAAUUUUAUUGUUCAUAUAAAAAGGUACAAUCUAAACCACGUACUCACAUGGUCUAACUACUCCACAACGCCCUUACUAUGGUCCCGCACCUCAAAGAUAAUAAUAGGAUCUGAAAAUAGGUAAACAACAAUGGAAUAAGAACUUGGAAUGAGUUCUGAAUAGGUGCAACCACUGAAAGUGGUAUUCUAUACUCACCAAGUUCCAAACGGGCGUUAGUAAUAAGUAAUAAUAAACAACAUCUAUUACCACAAUAGAAAAGUAAAUAAGUAAGAUAUAUCUAUAAUGCCUCUCUAUAUAUAUAAUAUGCAAAAAUGGUUUGCUAUGUUAUUUACUACACAUUCACCUCAUUUUAUUUUCUUAAUUUUAACAAACUUGUUCAUUUGGUUUACUUUUCAAUCUCAGUACACACCUUAUGGAGAGUCAAGGAUGAUCGAACUUCUCUCCAAUCGGUAGGCACUUGGGAUUGAAGGAGAUCAGAUUUUCUCUAGUAUGGCAUCGGGAGUUGAGAGGAUUAGACUUCUCCCUUUAUGACACUUCCGAAAAUCGCAACAUGUUUCAUUGUUACACCUUAAGUUCGUGACUUCUAGGGUUGUCAUAAGGUUUAUUUCCAUAUUGUUUUAUUUUCUAGUUCUAGUUUUGCCUAGAGAUACCACUAUAUUCACAUCUUAGGUUUCAAAAUAGGUUAAACGCCACACUUGUUUUCAACAUUUUAUGGUUCACAUAAUACUCACAUGUACAUCUCAAGUAUUUUCUUGUAGUAUAAUAAAGGGAUAAAAUCCUAUUUUCCUAGGCCAAAUGGCAAUAUACAAUUUUGACUCUCUAGAUCCCCUAGCAUGCAACUAAAAUAUAUUUCAGCUUAUAUAAAACUCAUAAAAUAUGCAUGCAACAAAAAAAUAAUUUAGACAAAGAGGAAACUAAAUCUAUUUUGAUUAUAUUCUUUACCUUUUCUUAGAUCUUCUCUAAGAGAUGCUCUUGAUCUUUUUAGAAUACCAAGAAAAUCUUAAAAAUUAAUUCUAACCAAGUUAGAAUCUAAAAAUUCUAUGUUUAGGAAAAUUCCCAAAAUAAACCAGAAGAUUCCAACUUACCUCUUCUCUUCCUGGUAUAAGAAAUGCGGGUGAAAUGGACUUCUUCUCCCUCCAAGAGCGUUCUCUUGAUGAAUUUGACCUUCUCCAAGCUUUCAAGGAAAUAGAUCUUUAAGUUUCAACAAUAGAGAUUUUAGGGCUCUUUUACUGUAAAGAAAGAGAGAAGAGGAUAGUGAGAGAGGAAGAAAUAUAAGAGAAAUUAGGGCUAACUAAUUAAAAGGAUACUCAUAGACGUGCUAUAAUAGCACAUAAACCCGCCGACAAUCCAAAUUUAUAAAGCCAUAAACCUCGACCUUUUAACUAGGAUUCGGGCACCCACUUGUCCGGACUUUCAGGUGCCGGUCCAAACUUUUAGGAGCCCAAAAGCCUCGUAGCUCCCUUUGGUCAAUUGUCUAGAUGCCCGGCCAAUCCGCCCUAUCCAUAAUACGGGUGCCCAAAAUGGACAUCAGGUGUCCAAUUAUUUAAUCCAUCACACAUGCGCUCUCAGGUUGAACAUCCAAAAGACAUUCGGAUGCCCGCGAGGGACUGCUUGAAAGAUUUUUCGAGCGCCAGAUUUUGGUCAACCGAAUAUUCAAUCCUUCACCUCCCAAGUUCUCGGGUUGGGAGUCCGAAAGAGGGUCUGGAUCCUCUUAAGUAGGAUUUGAAAGGUUAAUUUGCAGGCACCUAUGGGGCCAUUCGGGCACUCUAAAGUCAUCCUUCAAGUGAGUCCCACUGUCCGAAAUGGUUUCGGGUGCUUGGGAUCCUGUUUCGAGCGCUUGGGAUCCUAUUUCGGGCAUCCGAGAAGUUUGAUACUUCAGUUUUCACUUCUUUGAAAAUCAAUUUCAAUAUAAAUUAGUUUAUAUUCGGUCCAAAUUCAAACUACACUCCUUCAAACCCAUUUUAAUUGUGUCUAGCAUGACUUAAUCCGUACUUUGUUAAUUUAGCCAAAAUUCAGUAUGUUACAGAUUUUCUAUACUUAGAAAAUAACCAUAACUAUACUAUCUAUAUAUUUGUCUCUAUAUAUCGAUCAAAGAUAGACCACAUCUGGUAAAUGGUGGAUAGGCUGAUUAAUUGCAUACAAAUGUCGAUAUCCACUUGUAUAAAUAAGCCCAUGUGCCCGUCAAUCAGCAGCAAAUCAGGCUUUAGUUUUGUUUCAUCAACUGUUAGAUUGGUACCAUCAAUAUGACUGGUAAGAUCAAGAGUAUUCAAAUAAUAAUUGAAUACACAUCGACCAUUCAUAAUAGUUGGGCACGAUGAGCUUAAUAUCAAUUUGCACAAUAGUAGGUUAGAGGUGAGAGAACUAUUUUUCUUUACAGGUCUAAGCUAUUAGAGAAUGAUCCUUUAACUAUUAUGUGCUCAAAACAUUUUGGCAUCUAAUGGCAGAUUUUGGCUAAAAGCCAAAUAUGCAAAUUGCUAAAACUAAAUUAAAGAUUAGUAUCAAAAGAUUUUGGCAGAAAAUUAGUCUCAAAAGAUUCGGAGUCAAGACCUUAUGCUUUGAUAUCAUUUAGGACAUUGUUUUCACUUCCAUAUAUACUCAAUAGGGAUUAUCUUAAAUUCUGUUGAAUUCGCAGGUCCAUUCCAAUUUAUGAUGUGAUCCAAAAUUUUAGCAGUAAAAUUAAAAAUUUCACUACUAGAAAAUUAGUCAUUAGUGACAUUUAUUUACGCUGCUAAAAGAUCAACGAAUGCCACUAAAAAUUUUAGCAGCAUAUGACACUAACUGUUGCAUAUGCCAAUGUUGCUAAAAGUAUUAGCAGUAUUUAUAAUGAAUGCUGCCAAUGUAAAUCAAUUAGUGUUAUUAGGAACAUGCCUCUAAUAUAAAUCAAUUAGUGUCAUUCGGAACAUGCCGCUAAAAGGGAUUAAAUGCUAAUUUUAACUUAUUUAUUAGUGGGACAUAAAUUAAUAUAACGCCACAAAUACAAAUAUCUGAUUUUAGGGACUCAAGUUUUAAAAUUUUAAUUUUACCCGCUUCAGCUGGAAAUGUGAAUCAACUAGGAUUCAAACUUGAGACCUCAGUUACCAACCAUCAAGCACUUUGUCACUUACGCUAGGAACUCUCAGUUAUAUAUAUUUAAUUUUUUUUAAAUUUUAAGCCUUCAAUUUUAAAAUUUUAAAAUUUUAAAUUCUAAAUUCUAAAUUUAGAUACUAAAUUUAAAUUUUUAAUUUUCAAAUAUUAAAUUUUAAGUUUCAAAAUUUACAAUUUUAAAUGUGAAAUUUUAAAUUUAAAAAAAAUGUAUAAAUUUAAAAAUUAAAAAUUAAAAAUUUAAAUUUUAGAAUUUAAAAUAGAAAAUAUAAAAUCUUAAAAUUCAAAUGUUAAAUUAUAAGUUUAAUUUUAAAAAUUAUAAGUUUCAAAUAUUUAAACUUUAAUUUCAAAACUUUUAAUUCUAAGUAAAAAUAGGAUAUAUUAAUAAUUAUAUAUUGAUUAGUAACGAUAUUUAGUAAUAAGUACUGCUACUUUAUUACAUUUAGUGGCGUUCAUUAAUUUACGCUGCUAAUUUAUCCUAUUUUGUAACAUUAAUAAUAAAUUACUGCUAAAUUAUUAAAUCUAGCGGCAAUUAUUAAAUAAUGCUGUUAAAUAUAUUAAUUAGCUUAAUUUAAAUAAAUAUUGUGAAGUAAGUGUUGCAGCAUUUAGCAAUAAGUGCUGCUAUUUUGUUACAUUUAGUGUUAUUUUUUAUAAAAUGUUGGAAACUUCAGCGGCAUUCACUAAUUUAUCAAGUACGAAUAAUUGUAAAUUGCUACUAAUUGUAACUUCAGCGGCAUUCAAUAAGUGCUGGUAAUUUAUCCUAUUUGUAACAUUAAUUGUAAAUUGCUGCUAAAUUAUUAAAUCUAGCGGCAAUUAUCAAGUAAUACUGUUAAAUAUAUUAAUUAGCAUGAUUUAAAUAAAUGUUGUGGAGUAAAUGUCACUAAAUCAUGAAUUUGUUAUAGAAUUUUAUGAAACUCCAUGGUAGUAGCACUAGAAGCCCACUACUUGCUUUGUGAGUGCAAGGGCAGCGCUCCUGCAAAUUGGAAUAGUUAAGUCGGGGCCAAAGUUUUUCUAACCCCUAAACUUUUGAUCUACCAAUUUAGUUAAACUUAGACUAGUAUCGUUAAUUCUUUAGAGAUUUAACCGCUUACAUAUGUUGAUAGACCUUACUCCGUGGAUUUGUGGUAUCAUAGAGAGCAUGACAUCUAUUUUGCAGGUUAGGAUAUUUUGAGAGACGUAUGUUUUGUACUCAGCUUUCGAUUAUAAAAAGUUUUGCUUCAUCUUUGUUCAUGGAUUCAGGUCAGUGGUCAAACAAGAUUAUUUUCUUGUGAUUUUUUUUUCUUCUCUAUUUUUUGAUUCUCCGUUUUCUUUUAUCUGAUUUUUAGUCUUUGUUGUUACGAGAUACUUACCUCCCAAAUGUCUCACCUUGAAGCUGUGAAUGCCACUAUAUAGUUAGUACAUAUAGACGAAUAUAUAAGCAACGAGUUGAUUUAGGUAAAUAAUUAUUUAGCCACCACUCCAUCCUUCUUCUUUUCACUUAAUUGGAAUUGCCUUUUAUACUCAAAUUUUGGCAUGUUACAUACUAAAUGUUGAAAACUGAUGUGGAUAAAAUUAAAUUGUCUUAGAACUUCGAAGUAGAAAUUUUUCUUCACAGUGUGGGCCAUUAUUUCAUAAAUUGGAAGAUAAAUUAUGUUUGGCAGUAUGUUUAGGAUAUGAAAUCAAGUCUGCAGGAAAACUUAAUUUAUGUAUGCUUCUAACGGAUGAUUCCAAACUUAAUUUAUGUAUGCUUCUAACGGAUGAUUCCUUACGUGAUGCAGGAUGAGGACUUUCCUAAUUGAGGGUUUCAUGUGCCACACUCAUAAUGCUGCAUGGCACACUCUACACAACAUUAUUUGUGGGAGUGCUAACAAGAUGGAGAAUUAUCUAGACAUUGUCAAGAAUCAGCUAAAGUGCAAUGUAACUAUAUUUCACGGCCGAAAAGAUGAGCUCCUCCCUGUUGAUUGUAGCUAUGCUGUCGGGUCGAAGAUCCCUAGGGCUCGUGUUAAGAUCUAUGAUGAGAAGGACCAUAUCACGGUUGUCGUUGGCCAAGAAAGGGUUUUCGCAAGAGAGCUUGAAGAGAUAUGGAAAAAUGCUAUGCAUUAAAUAAGGAGGAGGAAGAAAGAAUUUAAACCUAAAUGAAAUAACUUCCCUCUCAAUGCACAGCUCAAAGAAAUGUGAUGCAAACAAGUGAUGCAUGUUUGAGCAAAUAUAUAUAUAUCUUUUGUUUCUCUCUUUCGUUCUUUUUUAAAAAAAUUUCUUUCUAAAGUACUUAUGUUUUACCACUAUAUGUGGUUCUAUAUGGUACCCCUUAUUCAAGUGUGAAAUAUGUAAGAUAGAAAUAUUAUGGGGAAAGAUAUAGAUUUCUCUACUUUUCAUAUAUUCUUCUUAUGAACUAUGUAGUAUUGUUAGUUAAUAACUUCAUUAUUAAAUCAUCAAUCUUACUACAUCGAGAGGGCAACAAAUUAUAUAUCACUCCCCGAGGCUGUUUUGUAAAAUAUUUUCUUUGAAAACGAGUGAAAAACAUGCUUUUUCUGAACUAAAAAACUGCCCUGAACAAGCACUGAUUCGCCAUACGAACAAAAUCUUCCCUAUCCAAAUGGAUAGAGUUUUUUCUGUACGCAUGACAUAUAUAGAGACAUAAAGUACAACAUCCAACCAUCAAACACAAUAGUAGCAACAACAACGACAAUAGAGAGAUAACAACAUACUAAUAAAUGAUCGACUAUUAUGAUGAAUAAAUGACUACUGCAGCCUCCAAUCUUCACAUACAACAAGUCACCUCCUACAACCAAAAUCAAAUAACAAUAUAUACAGGCCAGAAGCAAGAAUUAAUAAUACUGAAAAGUGAAGAAAUACAGAUACUAAAACCGACUACAAGGAAGCCACCCAAACUACUAAGAAGAACAAAUCUACAAAUGCUAAAUAUACAAUAACUAAAUAAUUAGGAGUUUGAAACAAAAGGUAUAAUUACAACUCAAAGUUACUGCCAGAGGGACUCAUCUAUCUAAUAGUACCUCAUGCACAGGCGGAUAUGUCACCUCUAGUGUCACCUGUGGAAACUAGGGAAUGAAAAACAUGUACACAUAUUUUUCAGUGCGUACUGCAAGCCGUCGAAGGCAAGCUGUACUCACUAGUAAAUAAGAGAGAGAGAGCGAUAAGGUAAAUACGAUAGGUAUAAACAGGUAUAAUUGAUAUAGUAAAAGUAAAACAAGAAAGAAAUCAUGCGACUAAAUAUUUGAAAUAAUAGCACUAUUGUAAAAAGAUAAGCAGAUGUAUAUAUGCAUCAAGCAAAUGAAUACUUCAAUACUCAGUCCCAAUCCAAACAAAUAUUGUCAUGUUGGUCUAAAGACCUUAGGCAAUGCCACACCUAUGCUUAGUCACUAGGCAUAUAAUCCUUCACGCCCUAGGGUUCGGCUCAUGUCACGCCCCGGGGUCCCUUUUCAGUUUAAAACAAAGCGGAAAAGCGUCUGAAAUUUUUUUUUUUUUUGAAAACCUGACCCCAGAGUAUGCCAGAUCCGCCACAAAUACAGGGAAUCCACUGUUCACACGGACAGAGUCUCCCCUGUAUUUGCACGGCGUCGCACAAGUACAAGAAGUCACCCAAGCACAACCACAACAAAUGAACAUACAAAUAACCAACCGUUAUAUAUAUUCAUACGCCAUUCACCACAGAUUCACAUGUAUGCAUAAAUCCACACCUAUCAGUUAAAAUAUUUCCAACCACAGAAACAGGUUUUGAAAUACUAAGAUGCAAAAUCCACAGAAAGCUUUUUGAAAACUGUUUCCUACACGGAAACCUUUAUUCUUUAAAAAUGCUACCACGAGGGGUAGAAAAUAUUUUACUUUACAAAAUCCAGAAAUCCGUUUAUUACAUUCACGAAAAUCCAUAUUUUCAAAUGUAAUAAAAAAUACUGAACCAUAUAACUAUCUAAGCUAUAACAACUGAAAUAAUAAGGGUAAUAACUAUACCGAAAUAACCUGGGUCGGAAGCUCUAUCGACCGCUACACACGUACCUCACGUCUCGUCCCACUACUCAUCGCCCGCGAUACCUGAAAAAUGGUGGGGGAGGUGAGAACAUGUAAACAUGUCUCCCCUCCCAGUGGGUACCGCAAGCCGAAGAAGGCGAGGAGUACUCACCGGAUCAGGAAGAACUAUACAACAACAUGGGUCAGUGGAAAUAAACAAGGUAAUGAGCAGAUAUACAAUAGCGAUAAACUGAAAGGAAGUAAGAACUAUACUGAAUAAACGGCUACCGCUACUGUAACUGGAACAGAAAGCAUACAUGAAUAUCUACUAUAGUAGCAAGACAACUAUAAAGUAAGAUCUGUAAGUAUGCAUGCAACGACUGCUACUAUAAACAUAUGCGUCAAUGGGACAAUCAGUCCAAAAGUACCCAAUCUGAAACCAAUGCUCUCUUGGUCAGCACCGCAGACCUCAAGCCAAUGCCCUGGAGGUCCGCACCGCAACACCUCCCGACAGUACCACUGCCGCUCUAACAUGCAUAUAACCCCUCUAGGGCUCACGGGUUGUCACCAUUCAACCACUUUUCCGGAAAAGAACACUCCUUGCGGUGGAUCAGACCGCCAGUGUUCGUGAAAUGCGACGAGUAUCGGGCGAUCAAUGCAAUAUGGUCAAUGAUCAACCGUCGGCAACCAGCCGACAAUCCUGCCCCCCAGGGCCUAUCGACCGCAUAGGUCAUCAACUGUAAAGAAGCACAAGAACCGACCACUCAGGUCAACUAGGAUGGGACAACAUCGACAUCCUCUCAAACAUAUGCAAAUACUGACUAAUCAAGUCAACUGGGAUGGAACAACUCAACAUCCUACCCACAGUAUGUAGAUACUGAUCAAUGAGUCAACUACUGUAUAUAUGCAAGAAUCGGUCAACAAGUCAUCUGAGUAUAUGAUCUAGAACUACCGUCGGCCACUAGUCGACAAUCCUACCCCUCAGGGUACACCGACCUCAAAGGUCAUCAAACAACAAGAGUCAAGGAACAAACCGACUAUAUACAGAUAUAAGAUACAAGAACGAAUCAACUAGGUCACCGAUUUCACAUAAAAUCACGAAACCGCUCUACUCUAAACAUGAUACAGGAUAUGCAGAAUAGCUAAGUAGAGCAACAAAGAAAUAUGGUAUAACUACUCUACUCCUACUCAUGAUAUAAAGAGAACAACCGAGUAGAGUGUAACUGAACAACAUGGUGCUAGGCUCAACACUAUAUAUCAAGAUAUAUAUAUGCUAGAUAAUAACGAAAGAGCAAAGGUAAGAAACCAUCACCGAGCGUGCACCACUGUACCGACGUCGGAUCGAAGUACCCACCUGUACAACUGUCGCGCCUGUCUCCUGACUGCAAAAGAACGUCAACAGGACCUAUGGAGGGUCCACUGGGUUAGUGUCUAACCCACAACUAAGAAAUACUACAUCGUAAUCCCGCUAACAAACCCACGGAGAUCAGUUUCCCAAAACCGACUACCGUAACUCGCCGGAAGUCCCAAAAAUCGCACCGGGACUCCGUCGGGACCCACGAACUGUCCCGAAAUGUUCCAACUCAGGAUACGAGUCACCCGCUGACACAAAACACACCAAUUUGGAUGUCUUGGCAGAAAACACAAGUUAACACAACUACACAAUUAUCGCCGGAUAAUUGUACGAACUCGGGUUCCCGAAAGUGUCAAAUUCGACACCGGAACCCACCGUCGCUCACUCGUCAUUUCUGAACUCUCGAAAUGACGCAAGUGGCCAGAAAACAAGGCUCGGCGACUACACAAUAGCUCACGAAGCACCGUCGGAAUAAUUCCGAACCGAACCCGCGUUCUAUCGGCGGAUUUCGCCGAAAAACGCAUCGAAAAUCACUUUUCGAUUUUCGCAAGGGCUUGGGGCCUUGGACGAUCAGUCCAGAGGUUAUCCUUAGCCCAAACGUGCUGCCAACAGCAUCUACAUCGAAGCAAAAGUCCUAAAAGCCCAUACCGAUACAUGAAAUCGCAUCAUUUCAUGUGAUUUCUAGGCUUUUCUGGACCGUGCACGCAAACCAGAGGUCGAUUAAUCCGACCGUCGCACUCGCUGACAGGUUUCAUCAUGUCGGAGGCCGUGCUCACCUUUCGGAGCACUGCCGACCACUGCGGUGCGCGCACGAGCGACACGAAAUCUGUGAAACAGUGCGCACAGCGCGAAGGUCGCGACUAACUUGCUAACCAGGGCAUCUUUGCCGCUGUCGGAGGUGAGCACGAUGUUCAGCACGAACCCUAGAUCAUCGUGCUCACUUCUCGAGGUGUCGGGGAGUCAUCGGAUCACCAGAAAGGUGGCCGGAAAGCUUAAAUUGCAAUGCUGGAACUCAAAAACAGCAUACCGGAGCAGUGGGAGCUAGGGUUGGUCGCCGGCGGCCGGGAGGCGGGCACUCUGGCCGGGGAUGGGAGCAGCCGGUCCGAGAGGUCCGGGGAGGGUGCUGGCCGGCGGCGGGCGGCAACCGGUGGCGCGGCGGAGGAGAUCGACUCCGCCCAUUCCCUCUCGGGUUCGUGCUUCCCGGCGGCGCGGCGGCGGCCGGAGGAGGUCGGGGCGGCUACGGUGCGGCGCCGGAGGCCGAGGGGAAAGUGGUGUACCCCCCGGUGGGCGGCGGCGGCACUUGGAUGUCGAGCGGGCCCGACCUCGGCCCGCACAGGUCUGGGUAGCUGCAGGAGAUCUCAGCGGCGGCCGGCGGCGCGCGGGGACGGCGGGGGACGCGCGCGCCGGGUUGUCGGAGGUCGCCGGGGCCGACUGGAGGGCGGCACGGCCGAAGUAAGGCGAGGACGCAGAGUUCGAGCUGGCUCGGUCUGGGUUGACCCGAGUUGGCCGCAGGGAGCGGGGGUGGAUCCGGUGGCGCUCGGGGGUGGUCGGGGCCGACGAGGGAGGACGACGGAGAUGGACCUCGGCCAGAGGAUGAUGCUCCAAGGGUGAAAGAAGCUUCCUUCGCAGCUUCGGCGAAGUCGGAGGAGAGGGUGGCCGAGAGAGCAAGAGAAGAGGUCGGGGUGGCUUUUCCGGCGGCCGGGGCAGCUCGCCGGCGGCUGGGGCGUGCGCGCGGGUUGGGCAGGGAGAAGGUGGGGCGGCUAGGGCUCGGUUCGGCUGAGGAGAAAGCCAAAAGCUAGGGUUUCCUCACGAAACCCUAGUGCAACUACUAUUUACAUAUGUACAAUUGCAAGAUAGUCCUCCCAGGGAUAAUAUUCUCAGUCAAGUCCCUCACAGCAUGUGUAUUUUACACAUACGCACCUCCAUGUCCGAUCUCAAGCAAUUCGGCACAUAAAAUAUUAGAUCUUUUCGCGAUUUAACCGUUUUGCCAAUUUGACCUCUUAGCGAUAACUUUGCAAUUACCGGAGAUCCGUCCGUCGGAUUUUCGAUCCGACUGUGCCAUCGCGUUCAGUACAACGGGGGCAUCGAAACUACGAUUUCGUUUCAUCCAAUUUGGUCACGGAUUCGCGACGGAACCCAUCUGCUCUCUAAUUAAUCCAUAUAUCGUACGUAUACCAAUGUGUAAACCCAUUAAACCAACUUUCGUAUUAGAAAUUGACUUCCCUACCACUAGUAGGGACCCGAAACAUUCUUCACCCUACUCCAGGUCACAAGCACGGGGCACGAGAAGCUUUAGAAUGCACAGAAAAGCAAAGAGCGGAAACCCUCUUUUCGGUAAAACUCCUUUUUCUCGAAAAUCGUGCAUCAGAUCUGAAAUCCGUCAGUGCCAUUGGUUCCAGAACAGCUGAACCGAUCGAAACGAGCUAUUGGAUCGCUAUGAACGGAGUCCGAUAAGCGCCGAAAGCCAACUCUACUCCGUGGCUUCACCGAAAAACUGGAGUUACUAUUCACUUAAGUGAAAACUAAUAAUCACGUAACUUCUCCGUUCUAGCUCAUUUUCUCCUGAAACUUGACGAGUGCUUAUGUAAUUAAAUUACACACAUAAAUAUCGUCAACAGAGAGUUUAGUUGCACUGUAAAAAUCUCAAUCCUUACAGCUCAACGUGGGUUUGCCAAUAGAUCUGCCGCAUACACAAGAAGCCUUGUGUAUACGAAGCGAUAGUAGUACUUGUAAAGUAUAAAAGAACAACUAUAAGCAAGUAAUAGGAUUGUAAAAAACUGCUAAAACUAAAACAUGAUCCACUGUACAUACAUAAGAUCUAGGGAGUACAAUAAAGAAAUCCAAAAGUACAAACAUCAUCUCUCGCAAUUGUAAAAUAAUAUAUAUAUAUAUAUAUACGUAUAAUAUAUAUAUAGAACGUUCGGCUACUAUGCUUAUCGUAGCACGAGCGCUCCGUGCUACCAAGUUGUUUUCGAUGAUGCGGCUUUCUGAUCGACGAUCGGCUCCGUUAGACUUGAUCGAACACUAUUGAAAGUAUUUGAAACUAAAUUUCAAAUUUUUUCGACAUCAUUUGACUAGUGAUCAAAAGAUCUCAAAAUUGACAAUUUUAAUGGCCGAUGUGGGUGUGUUUGUGAGUUAACGGUGUAAAAAUAAUCCAAAUGCGAUGAAAAAUUUAUAUAAAAAUUCUUUUCACUAUUUAGAGUAAGAUCAGUAUAUCUUUUUUGAAUUAAUCUUUUUAUAUCAUUUUUCUAUGAGAUUUUUAUUUUCAGCCGUUCAAUUUUAGACCUACUUGUUUGAUAGGUAAAUAAUAUUCCGAAAACACACUUAUGAACACUUAUUUCUAAAUACUUUCCCACAUAGUAUAGAUUCAAGCUCAACCGGAGCCGAUCGGUCGACUUCUGGAAGUAGCAUCAUCGAAAACAACUUGGCAGCACGGAGCGCUCCGUACUAUCGAUAGUAUAGUAGCCUAGCUCAUAUAUAUAUAUAUAUAUGUAUGUAUGUAUAUAUGUAUAGCAUAGUACUAAUAUAAUAAUAUAGAUAUAUCUAUAUAUAUAUAUGUAUACAUAUAUACAUACAUAUAAUAUAGAUAUAUGUAUAUAUAUUAUAUAUGUAUUAUAUAUAUAUAUACAUAUAUAUAUUACUAUAUAGAUAUAUUAUAUAUGUAUAUAGAUAUAUUACAUAUAUGUAUAUAGAUAUAUCACAUAGAUAUAUAUAGAUAUAUAUAUAUAUAUACUAUAUAUAUAUAUAUACUGUAUAUAUAUAUAUAGUAUGUUAUAUGAUUAUAUCUAUAUCUAGAUUGUAGGAUAUACAUAUAUAUAUAUAUAUAUAUAGUAUAUACACAAUAUAACAUAUAUAUAUAUAUAUUACAUAUAACAUAUAUAUGUAUAUCUACAUACAUAUAUACUAUAUGUAUAUCUACAUAUAUAUAUAAUAGUAUAUAUAUUAUUGUAUAUCUAACAAUAUAGAUAUAUAUGUAUAUAUAUAUAUAUAUUAUAUAUAUAUAUACUGUAUGUAUAUAGUAUAUACUAUAGAAAUUUAAAUAUUCUGUAUAUUAUAUAUAUAUACAGGAUAUACAUAUAUAUAUAUAUAUGUAUGUAAUAUAUAGUAAUAUAUAGUAUAUCUAUAUAUAUAUAGGGUAGUUAUACCAGAUAUAUAUAACCUACCUAUAAUCAUGUAUAUAUAUAGGUAAUACAUAGGUAGGUUAAUACAUAUAUAAUAUAGUAGAAGGUGGUAUACAAUAUAUUAGGGGGGGGGUAGGUUAUAUAACCUACCUAUAUAUAUAUAUAUAUAUAUUAGUUUAGUAUUAAUAUUUAUAUAUAUAUAAUAUAUAUAUACUAUAUAUAUUUAUAUAAUUAUAUAUUAUAACCUACAAUCUAUGAUAUAUAUAUAACCUCCUAUAUAUGGUUAUAUAUAUAUAUAAUAUGUAUAUAAUAAUAUACCUAAUCUAUAUAUAUAUAUAACCGAGUUGGGCUGGGGUGCUUUCGGAAAGAAGCACGGAGCGCUUCCGUGCUUCCACUUUGUUUUCCGAUGUUCGGACUUUCGAAUCGACGAUCGGCUCCGUUAGAGUUGAUCUACGAGCUAUUUAAAGUACCAAGAAUUAAAUUUUGCGAAUUUUUCGAUAUCAUUUGCCUUAAGUGAUCCGAAGGGGCUUCAAAAUCAAUAAUUUUAACGGCCGUGGUGAGCCAGUUUGCAAGUUUAACGGUAUAGAAAUAUCCCAAAUCCACGGAAAAUUUUGAUAGAAUUCUUUAUUACCAUAUAAAACAAGAUCAAUACUUUUGUGAUCUAAAUUUUAAUGGUCGAUAUCAUCAUAUUUUGGUGAGAUUUUUAUUUUCAGCCGUUAUUUGAGCCACUUCGAUCACUAGGGCAAAUGAUAUCGAAAAAUCGCAAAAUUUAUUUUCUAGAUACUUCAAAUACCUAGAUCAAGUCAUAAACGGAGCCGAUCGUCGAUUUGAAAGUCCCAACAUCGGAAAACAAAGUGGAAGCACGAGCGCUCCGUGGCUUCUGAAAGCACCCCCAGACGCUACUCAUAUUAACUUACCUAUAUAUGUAUAUAGUAUAUAGGUAGGUUAUAUUAUAAUAUAUAUACAUAUAUAGGUAGGUUAGUAUAGUAUAUACUAUAUAGGAGUUAUAUAUUAUAUAUAUAGUAGGUAGGUUAUACAUAUAUAUAUAGUUAGGUAGGUUAUAUUAUAUAUAAUAUAAGAUAUAUAUAUAGGUAGUUAGGUAGAUGUAUAUAUAGUAUAUAUAUGAACUAUAUAUAUAUAACUAUAUUAUAUAUAUAUAGGUUAAGUUAUGUAUAUAUAUAUUAUAUAUAUAUUAUAUAUAUAUAUAUAUAUAUAUAGUAUAUAUAUAGUUAGUAGUAUAUAUGUAUAUAUAUAUAGGGUAGGUAGAUGUAUGUAUAUAGGUAGGUUAUAUAUAUAGUAUAUAUAUAUAUAUAUAUAUAUAUAUAUAUAUAUAUAUAUAUAUAGAUAUAUAUAUAUAUACAUAUAUUAUAAUAUAUAUAUGUAUAUACAUAGUAUAUAUAUAUCUAGUAUAUAUAUAUAAUAUAUAUAUAUAUAUAUAUAUAUAUAUAGUAUAUACUAUAAUAUAUAUAUACAUAUAAUAUAAUAUAUCUAUAUUAUAUAUAGUAUAUAUAAUAGUAGGUAGGUUAUAUACCUGAUAUAUUUAUAACCAACAUAUAUAUUAUAGGUUGUUAUACAUAUAUAUAUAUAGUCAUAACCUACUAUAUAUAGUAGUUUAUAUACUAUAUAGGUAGAUUAUACAUAUAUAUAUAUAGGGGUAGUUAUAUAUAUAUAUAGAGAGUAGUUAUACAGAGUAUAUAGGUAGGUUAUAACCUACCUAUAUAUGUAUAUAUUAUUAUAACCGUACAUCGUAUGUAUAUUAUAACCCACCUAUAUAUGUUAUAUAUAUAUAUGUAUAUUGUAGGUAACUACGUAUAUAUAUAUAUAGCUAUAUAUAUAUAUAUAGUAUAUAUAUAUUAAGUAUACAUAUAGUAUAUAUAUAUAUAACUACAGUCGUAUAAUUAUAUAACCUACCGUAUAGUAUGUAUAGUAUAUAUAGGUAAUACAGAUAAGUAUAUAUAUAUAUAUAUAUAUAUAUAGUAUAUUAGUAUAUAUAUAUAUAUAGGAUUAUAUAGUAGUAUAUAUAUAUAUAAUACGUAUAUAUAGUUAUAUAUAUCUGUAUAACCUACCUAUAUAUAUAUAUGAUAUAUAUAUAUAUAAAUAUAGAUAUACUAUAUAUGUAUAUAGAUAUAUCUAUAUAUAGCAUAUAUAGAUAUAUCUUAUAUAUAUAUACAUAUAUACAUAUGAUAUAUAAUAUAUAUAUACAGUAUAUAUAUAUAUAGUAUAUAUAUAUAUAUAUAAUCUUAUAUGUAUAUAUGUAUAUAUAUAUAGAUAUAGUCUAUAUAUGUACUAUAGUAUAUAUAUGGAGUCGGUACUAUACUAUCGGUAGCACGGAGCGCUCCGUGCUACCAAGUUGUUUUGAUGAUGCGGCUUCCAAAUCAACGAUCGGCUCCGUUAGACGUUGAUCUACACUAUUGAAAGUAUUUGGAAACUAAAUUUCAAGGUUUUUUUUACAUCAUUGACUAGUGAUCAAAAGAUCUCAAAAUUUGACAAUUUUAAUGGGCCUAUGUGGUGUUUGUGAGUUUAACGGCUGUAAAACAAUCCAAAUGCGGAUGAAAAUUUUAUAGAAUUCUUUUCACUAUAUUAGAGAAAGAUCAGCAUAUCUGAUCUUGGAAUUUAAAUCUUUAUCAUCCAUUUUUUAUGGAGCAUUUUUAUUUCAUGCCGUUCAAUUUGUGAGGGCUACUUGUGUUGGUAGGUUAAAUGGUAUUGAAAAAUUAUAAAAUUUAGUUUUCUAAAUACUUUUUUAAAUGAGUGUAGAUCAAGUCUAACGGAGCCCGGAUCGUCGAUUUGGAACCGCAUCAUCGAAAACAACUGGUAGCACGAGCCGCUCCGUUGCUACCGAUAGUAUAGUCAGCCUAGCUUAUAUAUAGUAUAUAUAGGUAUAUAUAUAGUAUAAGUAUAGUAAGUAUAUAUAUAUAUACAUAUAUAUGUAUAUAUAAUAUACAUAUUUAUGUUAUAUAAUAUACAUAUAGUAUGUUAUAUAAUCUAUAUAUGAUACUAUAUGUAGUAUAUUUUGUAUACAUAUAUAUAUGUUAUAUAUGUAUAUACAUAUAAUAUAAUAUAUAUAUGUAUAUUAUAUGUAUAUAUAAUAGUAUAUAUGUAUAUGUAUAUGUAUAUAUAUAUAUAUAUUAUGUAUAGUAUAUAUAUGUAGUAUGUAUAUGUAUAUGGUAUAGCUUAUAUAUAUUAUAUAUAUAGUAUUAUAGUAUAUAUGUAUAUAGAUGGGGUAUACAUUAUAUAUAAUGUAUAUAUAUCAUGAUAUGGUAUGGUACUCCGUGCUGUAUAGUAUAUAUAUAUAUGUAUGGUAUAUAGUAGUAAAUAUAUGUAUGUAUAAUAUAUAUGUAUGUAUAUAUAUAUAUAUGUAUAUAAUAUAUUAUGUAUACAUAACAUAUAUAUAUAGUGGUUAGUACGAGUGUUUGAUUAUUAAGAGUAGAUAGUGUAGAGGUACAUAUGAUUGAUAAUUGUAUAAGAGGGGAUACAGGAUAUAUAUAGUAUGUAUAGUGAUAUAAUAUUNNNNNNNNNNNNNNNNNNNNNNNNNNNNNNNNNNNNNNNNNNNNNNNNNNNNNNNNNNNNNNNNNNNNNNNNNNNNNNNNNNNNNNNNNNNNNNNNNNNNUUAUUUAUAGACUUUAGAAUCAAUCGGAGUCGAAUUAGAAAGUUUUCACGGUUUUACACUGUGUACUGGUACACUUUAAGCUGUUACCGGUUACACGAUGACGGAACGAAAAACCUGACGAAACAGUGAAACCGGUUACAUCCUUGAUGGUCGUACUGGUACACAUUUUGUACCGGUACACUUCUGAUGCUGUACCGGUACACUUUGCAAAUUUCCGCCGUUUCGGGUUUUGCAAAGUCCCAAUGCACUUUCUAAUUCGUUAGACAUUGAUAACAUGAUUCUAAUGUCUACAACUAAGUAUGAAUCACCAUAACAUGAAUUUAUACUUUACCUGAGCAUCGUGAUUCAUAUCGUGAGUUAUUUUCCAACUUUUUCAAAAUCCUGAUUUCUUCGAUCUUCGACGAUAUGCACUGGUUCUUCAAGACUCCGACUCACUUCACGAAACUUGCCAAUACACAAGACUUAACAACCUUAGGCCGGUUGGACUAUAGGAAAUAGGCUCGUGAGAGACGAGGUCUAUUUGACUUGUGAGCGAAAGUAUCAUGAUUGGGUAUCUUGAUAACUCUAUAAAGUUGGAGUUGAUCGAAGUGUAUGACUUCUAACUUCGCGGAGGGUUACGUUGGCGGCCGACAACGUAACAUCGGGAGUUAGUGGUGAAGAACACUUCCUUACUUUCGCAUGAUUUGGGUAUUAUCUUUUGAGCGGGGGUUCGAUAGCGUGGGUUUACUAACUUGCGCUUUUAUGAUGUUGUAGUGACGAUGCCGAUUACACGCUCUCAAUCUACCAGAGCGGAUAAUGCGGCAAACUUGGAGGAGGUCGAGACCUCCGCUACCUCCGGAUCCGGUGAGGUCCGUGAGUUGAGGGGCCAGCUUGCGGCCCUCACUGAUAUGGUGGCACAGCAGACAGAGGCAGCGCGCCGGCAGGAGGCGCGGAUGAAGCGCCUGGAGGACCUUCUUCUGCAACAGGCGGCAGCUUCCAGGGAAACUCAGGCCCCUACACCGCCAGCACCAGUCGUGGACGUCACGCCGAGAGCGCCAUCCCCCGCGCCCAGUUCUUCGUGAGCAGCGCCCAUGGCCGCGCCUCAGGAGGAGGCUAUCGCGGCACCACCUGUGCAGAGGCCCCCAGUUGGAGCAGCUUUCCCUACCUUGGUCGAGGGAGUGGAGCGGGACCGACUCAUGGAGCGCCUCAACGAGUUCAGGAGGUGCAGUCCCCGAAUCUUCGACGGCGAGAAGGUCGACCACUGGAUCGUAGAGAAGUGGUUGAUGCAUAUGGAGAAGCUCUUUCGCGACACCUUCGUGGAGGAGAGGGAUCGGGUUUGGCUCGCCACACACCACCUGGACGGCGAGGCCUAUCGCUGGUGGUUGGAUCUCCAGGAGCACCCCAGCACUGAUUUGGCAGCUAUUACUUGGAAGAGGUUCAAGGAGCUUCUUUUGGCGCAUUACUUCCCGACUAGCGUCAAGAGGAAGAUGGAGCAGGAUUUGCGCAACUUGCGCCAGGGAGACAGGACAGUAGCCGAGUACGAGCGGGAGUUUUCUCGGCUUUUACAUUGCGUGCCUUUCGUCGUGCGGGACGACGAGGACAAGGCCCGCAUCUUCGAGCGAGGGUUGCGACCGUCGAUCUUCCGGUUUGUGCAAUCCUCUAACCUCCAAACCUACCAGGAGGUGGUGGAUCGCGCGCUCAUCGUGGAGAGCGGCACGGCAGAUGUCCAAGAGCGGCGAGAGGCUAUGGACAAGGGUAAGGCCAAGAGGCCUGCGGCUGAGGGUGCGAGCCAGACGCACUCUAGGAGGCCGCCGAAGCAUCCUAGGAGCCAGCAGCGUGGGCGUGGCUCGGCGACUCACCAUGGAGGUUCUGACCGACGCCGACCUCCCCAGUGCGUGAUCUGUGGUGGCCCCCACAUUCCACCGCAGUGCCCGCAGCGAGGAGGGAGGUGUUUCCAGUGUGGCCAGGAGGGCCACUUUCGGACCGAGUGCCCGAGGGGUUCGUCACCGGCACCGUCAUCUGCAUCGGCACCGGCUCUACCAGCCGCCAGCCACGGGACUCCAUCAGCGCAGUACCAGCUCGGGCGGCCACCCGCCCAGCGCCAGAGCGAGGGUUCUCGACAGGCCCCGAGUGGGCGUAUGUAUGCCGCUCAGACCGAGGAGGCGGCAGCAGCCGAGGAUGUGGUCGCAGGUAUCAUUUUUACUUGAUGCAUUAGAGUUCGUGCAUUAUUUGAUACCGGUGCAUCGCAUUCAUUCAUAGAUCGGCUGUUUGCCGAGUUGCAUGGCAUCCCUAUGUUUUCUUUGUUGCAUCCGGGACGUGUAGUUGUCCCUGACCACUCUUUGGAUAUUAGAGAGUAUUGCCCCAGUUGCCCUAUUCGGGUAGGAGAUUGGAUUAUGUCCGUGGACUUGCUAGCCUUGCGCAAGCUGGGGGAGUUUGAUGUGGUCUUAGGCAUGGAUUGGUUGACCAAGUUUUAUGCCACGAUAGAUUGCAAGAAUCGCACGGUUACUUUUAGAGAACCGGGGCAAGUUGAGGUGAUAUUUAGAGGAUGCCAGAGUUCGCUUUUUGCGAUGACGAUCAGCUCGUCUCGAGCUAGGCAACUGAUCAGCAGAGGUUGUGUAGCCUACUUGGCUAGUGUUGUGUUGAGGGGCGAGGGUGAUACCCCGAGGAUUGAGGAUAUUCCGGUGGUACGGGAGUUUUGUGACGUGUUUCCAGCUGAGCUACGGGGCAUGCCACCCGAUAGGGAGAUUGAGUUUGUGGUAGAUCUCAUCCCUGGGACUACUCCAAUCUCGAAAGCGCCCUAUAGGAUGUCACCGGCGGAGCUGAAGGAGCUGAGGGCACAGCUGCAGGAUCUUCUGGAUAAAAGCUUCAUUCGACCGAGCGUCUCGCCUUGGGAAGCACCAGUUUUGUUCGUCAAGAAAAAAGACGGAUCACUUCGCCUAUGCGUGGACUAUCGCGAACUUAAUAAAGUCACGAUUAAGAAUAAGUAUCCGUUGCCGAGGAUCGACGACUUGUUUGAUCAGCUUCAGGGAUCGUGUGUGUAUUCCAAGAUCGAUUUGCAGUCGGGAUACCACCAGUUAAAGAUCAAACCCGAGGAUGUAUCGAAGACGGCUUUUAGAACCCGGUAUGGACAUUAUGAGUUCACUGUUAUGCCGUUCGGGCUUACUAAUGCCCCCGCAGCUUUUAUGGAUCUAAUGAAUCGUGUUUUUAAGCCUUAUCUAGACAGGUUCGUCGUGGUGUUCAUAGACGAUAUUUUGGUUUAUUCCCGAAGUGAUACAGAUCACGAGGAGCAUUUGAGGCUUGUACUUCAAGUACUUCGGGAAAAGGAGCUCUAUGCCAAGCUAAAAAAGUGUGAAUUUUGGCUUCGAGAGGUAGCUUUUCUUGGACAUUUGAUUUCAGGAUAGCUGUGGAUCCUAAGAAGAUUGAAGCAAUCAAGGAUUGGCCGAGACCGACGAGCGUCACGGAGAUACAGAGCUUCCUUGGAUUGGCCGGGUACUACCGGAGAUUUGUUGAGGGGUUCGCCAAGCUGUCUACUCCCCUCACGAGGCUCUUAGGAGAGACCGGUCUCCCAGGGACCGGUCCCUCAGGUGAGGACCGGUUCCCGAACGCGAAAAGUCCCCAGACUGCAGGGAGAGCUCUCGGGGACCGGUCCCUUGUCGGGGAGACCGGUCCCUCUGGGCGAAAACAGCCCAGUGAUAGCAGGUUGAGAGAUGAAAAGUUGAGGGGCUAAAGUAGAUUUUGUUACAAUAGAGGGGCAUAUUAGCCCACUCCCCCUCUCAGCCUCUCAUUUCUCUCUCUCCCUCACUCUCAUUUCUCUCUCGCUCUUUCUCUCUCUAAAAAGGAAAGGAGAAAAAGAAGAACAAGAAGGAGAGGAAGGAAAAGAAGAAGAAGAUAAGGAAGGAGAAGAAGAAGGAGAUCAAGAGGAAGGCUUUGAGCACCUCCAUCUCCCUCUCCUCUUCUCUUUGGUGUAGCUCGUGAGGUAAGCUACUAAACCCUAGCUUCUAGAACUUAGGGUUUUGGGUUUUUAUGCUUUGGAGUGGGUCAAAUGGACCCUAGGCAAGCUUCUAAGUAGAUCAAUCCCUUGAUUCUAGGGUUUUAUCGGUGGGUUGCUAUAUGUGCAACCUAGGGCUCCAAAUGGGGCAUUUUGUAAAGUAUGAGAUUGAUCUCAUUUGAGGCCUUGUAAACCCCAUCGAUAGGUGCCCAAACGCGGGGGCGAAGUCGAUUUCGCGAUUCGUCAAGCGGGCUUAGAGCAAUCGGCGGAUUACGGUCGUUUCGGCGCUAUCUUGGAUUAGGGAAGGCUAAAGCCUUUUCGUAAAGCUCGCCGAGGAGCGUUCUUGAGGCCUCUACGUUGAUAAAAGGUGGGGGGUGUCAUCCCGAAGCUUUCGAACUCCUUUCUAUGUCUUAGAUUGCAUUUAAUCUCAUCUCUUCAUGUUGCAUUGUAGGAUUGCAUAGUAGCUCCAUUCCUUAUGCUUUCUAAAUGAUAACCUAGUGUACUUGGAACGCUUGGUAACUUAGAUAGGUGAGGAUUGGGUCGGAACGUGGAUCCUAUGAUGUAAAAGAAAAGAGGUGAACCCGAUGGGGGUAUUGAUGACAUAGAAGGUAGUGUUAGUGUUAAAGAACACAUGAGUGGCAUCCAAAUGUUAAAUGAUGACGAGUGGCAUUAAUGUAGUGUAUAUGACACUAGAGGUUUGAGAACCUAGGGAUAGGUGGAUCCCUUAGAAAAUGCCUUGUGAACAAUGAAUUUAGAAAACUAAAUAGCAUUGCAUGAAUGUCGGGAACCGAUGAUUCCGCGAUAGUCGUUGACCCUAGUGUAGGGCGUCCUCACUUGGAGAGGAUUCGAUUGGGUUAUUGACUCUAGUUGUAGAGCCUCCUCACUUGGAGAGGAUUGGAUUGGGUGUUGACCCUAGUUACAGUGUAUCCUCACUUGGAGAGGAUAGAUCUAGCUCACAGUCUGCGUUUAGGAUGGUAUAGCCAUCCAAUCCCCACAUGGAGGGGAUUGUCGUCGAGUACUCCGGAGUGUCGCGCGACUAGGACCACUUGGAGGUCCGGACCACAUGGAGGUCCGCAGACGGUCCCGGGCUUGGGUGCACUUGGAGCUCCCUCCCCACUUUGGGAUUGGAAGAUGAGUUAUGGGUGAGCCCUAGGGCCUCGCCACAGAUUGGGUAAAUGAAAGGUUAAAGGUUUAAUAAAUGUCAUUGAACAUAGCUAUUCGAACAUGGAUCGAAUUUGGUAGCAUGGUAGCAAACCUUUAUUAUAUGAUGCAUGCAUUCAUAUUCAUGAUUAUGGGCAUAGUAGCAUAGUUUUCCUACUACUGCAUUUACAGCUUUCAGAUACAUAUCUAUCUAUCUAUCUAUCUGUUGUUACUUGUGCCCACUUGGACCUAGUGGGGAGAUCGGCAGAGUCGGCGGCCGAGCCCACUGGGAACUAUGGAAGAUAGUUCUCACCCCACUCUAUUUUCAGUAGUAGGUACAGGGUUAUCGAGAGAGGACCACGGCAAGGGCAUCGCGCCCGAUCAGUGAGACCGUGGUAGUAUAGUAGCUUUCCUUUUGCAGUAGCACACCUAUGUAUUGCGAGAGAUUCAUGUAGGUGAGGCUGGAGAGUUAUGUAUUUUGAGGAUCAAAUGUAUUCAUUUUGGAAAAUGAUGUAAAUGUAAAGAAUGCAACUAUUGUAAUAGUUAGUAAAGUACUCUCUUUAUUUCACUCGUAUAUCUUGUGGAUUACUUGCUCUUCUUGUUGUUGGCACUGUUUGUGCCCUCGUUGAAUAUGUAUGUUUAGAAUUUAAAGCCCUGGGUAAAUUCUUGUGCACAUUCAUGUUAUUGAGCCUUGGGCGGACAGGAGAGGUGCUGUCCGUUCGGCGGACCGUCGCCACGGCCGAAUCGUGCCAAAUUGGUAGUGGUUUCGGGGCGGGGCGUGACAGCCAGCCUCUCGCCAACUUCACUCCAAUGAAGUGGCGAUCUACACUUCCGUCCAUAAAGUGCCUCGAAGGGUGCCAUCUUGAUGCUUGCUUGAUAACUAUUGUUAUAAGCAAACUCCGCCAUCGGUAGAUGCUGCGACCAUCCUCCCUGGAAGUCAAUCACACAUGCUCGGAGCAUAUCCUCUAAAGUACGAAUGGUGCGCUCCGACUGUACGUCACUCUGAGGGUGGAAAACAGUGCUGAAAUCCAAUCGGGUGCCCAAGGCGUCCUGUAGACUCCUCCAAAAGUGAGACACAAACCGAGUGUCUCGGUCCGAUACUAUCGAUAUAGGCACUCCAUGAAGUCGCACAAUCUCAUCAAGGUACACUUGUGCGAGCUUCUCUCCGGUCCAAGUAGUAUGAAUAGGUAUGAAGUGUGCCGACUUCGUCAACCUAUCCACGAUCACCCAUAUAGCCUCAUGCCCGGCCUGAGAGCGGGGCAAUCCAGUCACGAAAUCCAUGGUGAUCUUCUCCCACUUCCACACGGGAAUAGGCAAACUCUGAAGUUUUUCCGCGGGUAAUCGAUGCUCAGCCUUUACUUGUUGGCAAGUUAGACAACGAGCUACAAACUCGCCAACAUCCUUUUUCAUCCCGGGCCACCAAUAGAAUAACUUUAAGUCCUUGUACAUCUUGGUGCCAUCCGGAUGUACAGCAUACGGUGCUCGGUGUGCUUCAUGAAGAAUGUCCUCUUUGAUUUCCGCAUCCGCCGGUACACAUAACCAUCCGCGAAAACACAUCAAUCCUUGGUCAUCCACAAGGAAAUCGCCGGUGCAACCAUUAACCAUUUUAUCUCUAAUCUUUUGCAACUCCGUAUCGGAAGCUUGCUUCUCUUUAAUCCUAUCCACAAGUGUAGGUUGCACCACCAAAGUCAUCAACCUUAAAGACGUGUCUGGAGUCACUACCUCCAACUCCAACCGCUUCAUAUGCUCGAUCAACUGCGGUUGAGCCACAACAUGCAUCGCUAAGUUUUCUGUCGAUUUCCUACUUAGCGCAUCCGCCACCACGUUAGCCUUGCCCGGGUGGUAUAAAAUUGUCAGGUCGUAAUCCUUGAGCAGUUCCAACUAUCUGUGCUGUCUCAAGCUCAACUCCUUCUGAGUGAACAAGUACUUCAAGCUCUUGUGAUCCGUGUACACUUCACACCGCUCGCCAUAAAGAUAGUGGCGCUAUAACUUCAAUGCGAAGACUACGGCCGCCAACUCCAAAUCAUGCGUCGGGUAGUUCUUUUCAUAUUCCUUUAGUUGGCGCGAAGCAUACGCGAUCACUUUGCCAUCCUGCAUCAACACACAACCCAAUCCAUUAAGUGAAGCAUCACUAUAAACCACAUACCCUGCUCCAGCCAUCGGCAGGGUUAGGAUCGGGGCGGUCGUCAAUCUUUGCUUCGAUUCUUGGAAGCUUCUCUCGCAUGCAUCAUUCCAAAUGAACUUGACUCCUUUAUGCGUGAGACCGGUUCCCGAAAGGGGAACCUUCAGGACUUAGCCAAAUUUAGGCUUCCUCUCGCGGGUGUCGCGCACGGGGACCGGUCCCCUCAGCCAGGGACCGGUCGCAUCGGCCUUGCCCCGCGACCCUCAGCUACGGGGACCGGUCCUUCCCUCUAGGGACCGGUCCCCGAGAGCAAAAAUCUGCUGAGUCCAGAUUUUAUCUAUUUGCUCUCGCGGACUCAACUCCAAAGCACUUUUUGUGUUUUGGGCAUUCUUAACUCCCACAAAGGGUAUUCUCUCGACAGUGAGUCGAUCCUGGACAAAGUACAAUCCUCGUAUUUCGAGAAUUCACUUCCUUACACUGGCAUUAGGCUCUGACGUGCUCCAGGAAGCUGAGGACAAGAUUCGUAUUGCUCGGGAGCGACUUUUGACGGCACAGAGUAGACAUAGGAGCUACGCCGACCGACGACGGUGAGACUUGGAGAUCCAAGUUGGAGACCAUGUUUUCUUAAAGGUCUCGCCGACUAGAGGGAUCAGGAGAUUCAGGAUUCGGGGAAAGUUGAGCUCCCGUUUCAUUGGACCGUAUGAGAUUUUGGAACGUGUAGGUCCGGUAGCGUAUCGACUUGCUCUACCACCGAACCUAUCGGGCGUACACAACGUCUUCCAUGUAUCGGUCCUUCGGAAGUACAUCUUCGACCCGACUCAUGUGUUGGAUGCUACACCUGUGGAGUUGCGGGACGACUUGAGCUUCGAGGAGCAACCAGUGAAGAUCUUGGCUCGCGAGGUUAAGAAACUACGGAAUCGGGACAUUCCGUAUGUAAUGGUCCUUUGGAGCAACCACGAGGAUCGGGAGGCCACGUGGGAGCUAGAGAGCGCGCUGCAGGAGCGCUAUCCCCAUCUCUUACAGAUGGAGUCUUGAGGUAUGUAGUUUGAUUUCGAGUUUCGCGGACGAAACCCCUUUUUAGGAGGGGUGAAUGUAACACACUGGACCUUUGCAAAUUGCGAGGUUCAAGUGUUUGAUCUGUGUUCCGAGCUUUGCCAGAUAUUCUGGAAGGUCGUUGACAGUGUUUUGACCUAUGGCUCGCAUCCCAAGAAUUGAGGUUUAAAGCUUGUACCAAAAUCCAAAAAGAUGGAUUGUUGGUCCUGCUCUCGGGUCAGCCUCAGCCAGGCUGUGUACCGGUACAGCCUUGAUGGUUGUACUGGUACAGGAUUUGUACCGAUACACCUUGAUGAUUGUACCGGUACACUUCGGGUUUUCUACCAACCCGAGGCUCGGGUUGGGCUGUUUCAUAGGAAGUGUACCGGUACACUUUCCCGUGUACCGGUACACUUUCCCGUGUACCGGUACACAAUGCAGACUGGGCUGUUUUCGAGGAGGGGUGUAUUUGCAAUUAUUGCAACCUCUUUAAAUACCACCCCAGCCCCUUUAGCUGCUCUUUUGAGCCCUAGACCUGUGGAGAAAAGGUGAGAACUCUUCCCCUUUGGAUUCUUCUCCAUUUUUGGUGGAUUUUAGUUGGUUUUGAUCUCUCCUUUCUUCUCCUCCUUGUUUUUUGUUGGGUUUCCUCCAUUGUUGAGACUUGGAGCUUGAAGAAGAGCUUGUUUGAGAAGAGAUCUCCAACCCUACUUGGUUUGGAGCUUGGUUUGGGGCAUCUUGUGAGGUUUGUAGCAUGUAUUUCUCUUUUCAUACAUGUUUUAGUGGAUUUGGAUCUUGUAACCCUAGAUUUUGAGAUUUAGGGUUAGAACUAGGAACUUUUGAUUUGAGGCUUCUAGAACCAAAUUGAUUGGUUUAGAAUCAUGGUUUAGGUUGGCUUUGAAGGAUUCUUACUCCCUUUUGGAAAUCAAGAGAGAUUUUCACCAUUUUCGGUGAGUUUUUAGCCCUUUCUUUGAGUUGCUUAAUGUUUGAACUCAUGAAUUGUCGUUUCGAUGUUACUCCCCUAGCCUAUCUCUUAGGGUGCUAGGAGUGAUUAUCGAAGCUUCGUUAGCGUUUCGGACGCCCGCGCGGAGCUUUUGGUGGGUUCGGCUUCAUGUGAAUAGGGGAAAAUUCCUCCUAAGGGGUUAAUAUGUGUUGUAUUAUCAUUUUGCAUGCAUUUUCAUACUAGAUAGGAUUUAUGUGAAUUUUGAAUACUUAAAAUGCAUGUGUUGCGUAUCAUGAAAAUCCUUCUCUACAUAGUAGAGCAUUAUGUGUAGUGUACAUGAAUGUUUAAAGUAUUCUCUUUUUCAAGUUGGAAAAUAUGUUGCAUGUGAGGAAGAUGGUUGAAAUAUGUAUUCAUGAAUAUUAAACUCAUGUUUGAAUAUAGUGAACUAGAAUGCCAUAAAGGGGCACUUGACUUAGCAAAUUGUGAAAUUGCAACAUAGAGACAUAGUGAUAGGCCAUCGAGACAUAUGCUAUAUUUCAUGUUUUAGACAUGACGACAUAGUGAUAGGCCAUUGAGAUAUUUUCCACAUUCCAUGUUUUAGACAUGAUGACUUGGUAUUUGAGACGGACUUUUACGCUUGCUUGCCAUUGUGCUCAUUCACACAUGCUUGUAAGGGUCGCUCCCUACAAGCCGGCACUCCGGAGAUAGCCAUCGCGACAUAUGCUCGCUCGUGCGGGAUUGGGCGCCGAAAUGGAAUGCCGUGGGGGAAGCUCAUUCCUAGAGUGGGGAUGUUGACUACCACGGGGCCAUUAGGCACGGCGCAGGCCAGACAGCCUACGGAUGGGUCUUACAUGAUUGGAACUUAGUGACAGAACAUGCCAUUUGGACUUUGACCAGAAUAGUAAACAAUGACAUUUACUAUUUAGCUUGUGGACAUUAUGUUAGUGAUGCUCGUUUAUAUUCUGUUACAGUAGCUUUAUUACUUAUGCAAUUCAUGCUAAGUAGAGAUAUCAUGUUGUAGUAAGUUACAUGUUUACUUACAUAUCGAUUCUAUUGCUUUUAUUGUUACUUACCUGUUUAGCUCUUUUGGGCCUAGUGGUGCUUUCACUGAAGUCAGUAAUUGCCACUGGGAACUAUUAUUUAAUAGUUCUCACGCCCCCGUUUCUAUGGUUUUAUUUCAGAGCCCUCUACACCGGUGGAGGCACGGGACCGCGGCAAGGGGAUCGCUUAGCUAGCUAGCGAGGAGCGUUUCUUUUGCAUUUUGGUAGUUCGCUCUCCUUUUGUUGUAGUUGAGAGAGAGAGAGUUAUGUUAGUACCUUGUAUAGAGAGACCACCUAUGUAUCUGGUUUAGCAUUUGUACUUUGGAUGUUUAUUGUACUACUUUCUAUUUUUUCUUAGUGGAUUUAGCUCUAUAUUCAUUUCGGUUAUUGUAGCAUCUAGACAUACUUGCUCUGAUACUGCUAGAUGUUUUCUUUAUCUUGCUUUAUUUAUCGUUUUAUUUUAGACGCCUUAUAUGUUUUAGACGUAUGCCGGGUCUGGGCACGUGCCGGGCGGGCUUUCGCUGGGUCCCGGGGCGUGACAACGGAACUCAUAGCAAGUAUGAUCCAUUCUUAACUCUAAGGAUAUAUAGUUCAAUCAUUGUCUUUACACUAACUCUAGUGUUCUUUACAUCACUUUAUUUUGCUAACUCUAGCAAUCAUCGUUCUUUAACUUUACUCGUUCUUUAUGCCAAACUUUGCAUUAACUUUAACCAUUAUCAUUGUUCUUUUCAUCACAUUGAUUCUUUGAUGCCACACACUAACUUUAGUGUCGACUAUAUACUUUCGAAUGCCACUCGAUCUAUGCUCAUUGUGUCUCGUUGUUCUUUUGCCUCACUUGGGUGCUCACAUUUUAUCUCAUGCAUACAUAUAGGGUUAAACAUUCAUAGGGGUUCUCAACCAUCUCAUUAGGCAAAUUGUACUCACAACAUGCAACAUUACAUUAUUCUCAUUACAUAUACCCUACUAUGCUUGCAACAAUGUAUAUAACAUAUACUCAAUUGAAUGACACACUAGGCAUAGAAGGAAGUUCAACGAGUUUGGAUAGCACCACCCACCUCGUAGGUUCUCAAAGGUGCUCCGACGAUUUUCUUGGGAUUUUUAGACACCCGGUUCGCUACCUGCGAGUUAACGAAGCCAAAUUAGGCUUAUUUGGCCGUAACUUUACAUCGGGUUUUCGUAACGUUAAUCCGAGCACACCAACGCGUCGGAAAUACCCCCAAUUAGGUUUCUAGAGGGUCAAUUGCACUUUAGAACCCUCGCAAGCAAAAGCCCCAAUUUUGGUGCCCUAGCUCAUAACAUACAUCAAACCUAGGGUUUGAUCUCAUUGGGAAGCAAAAGAAGCUUCAUUCUACGCUAAAGACUCCACAAAAACCAUCUUUAGUUCAAUCCAAACCCUAGUUUGGAUUCUACCAUGAGAGGGGUUGAAGCUCUCCUUCAAGCUUCACCUUCCACACCAUUCCAUGGUUUUGAUCUCAAAAUGAAGCAAAAGAUAGCUUCAAACACUCUAUAGGUUCUAUUAAAACCAUUUCUAGGUCCAUCCAAACCCUACUUUGAGCUUUACCACUAUUGGGGUUCAAAGCUUACCUUGUAAGCUUUCCUUUUCCAAGCUAGGGAAGGAGAGGAGGGGUCUUCUUCUCUUCCUUGCCUUCUUCUUCACCUUCUUCCUCUUCUUUUCCUUUCUUCUUCUUGUCUUCUUCUUCUCCUUCUUGUCUUCUAGAGAGAGAAAGAGAGAUGAGAGGGGGAGUGUGAGGGAGAGAAUGAGAUGAAAAGCCCUCAAAGCCCCCCACUUAACCAUUGGGUUGCACAAAUGCAAAUAGGCCCCUCAACUUUCACUUUAUUGAACUGCUUGAACUGGGCAGUUUUCGGGUUCGGGGACCGGUCUCCCAACUUGGGACCGGUCCCAGAGAGCUCUCCCGCAGCUCAGUGAGGGCCUUCGCACGAGGCAACCGGUCUCUCCCACAGAGACCGGUCUCUCGGGGACCGGUCUCUCCCCGCAGGGACCGGUUCCCGAGAGCUGGUUUUCUGGGACUUAGCCGAUUUGCAGCCUUUCUCAUUUCUCACGCGUUCGGGGACCGAUCUCUACCACCAGGGACCGGUCCCCGAGAGCUCAAAAACUGUAGUUUGCAGAUUUUUGAUUCUUUAGCUCUCGAAAACCUCCCACAACGCAUUUUUGAUCAUUUUAACACCUUCGGACUUUCCGAAGUGUACCACCCUCGCACUUUGGUCAAUUUGACUAAAGUUCGAUAUUUAUUUUUCAAAUUUUCGGUAUAUUACAUUCUCCACCCUUAAAAUAAUUUCGUCCGCGAAAUUACGCAUACCUUAACUCGUCGAUUCAAAUAGAUGUGGAUACUCUCUCCGCAUGAUCUCCUCGAGCUCCUAAGUGGCUUCUCGCGCCGCAUGGUUGCUCCAUUGGACCUUCACAUAUGGAAUUCUGCGACUCCGCAGCUUCCUUUCUUCUCGAUCGAGGAUGCACACCGGGUACUCCUCGUAAGACAUAUCUUCACGUAGCUCCACGGGCUCGUACUCCAAUAUAUGUGUCGAGUUUCGAAUAUACUUUCGGAGAUUUGACACAUGAAAAAUAUUGUGAACUCCUGCGAGUCUCGAUGGUAGUGCGAGCUUGUAUGCUACCGCACCCACACGCUCCAAUAUCUCAAACGGUCCGACAUAACAGGGACUUAGCUUCUCGUGGACCCCAAACCGCUUUACUCCUCGCAUCGGCGAUACUCUCAAAAAUACGCGGUCUCCAACCGCGAACUCUAAAUCUUUUCUUCUCUUGUCGGCAUAACUCUUUUGCCGAGAUUGUGCCGCCGCUAACCGUUGACGGGCAAGGCGAACUGUAAUGCAUUGGAAAAUUGACCUUGAGCUAAUUGUAAUCAAGUUGAUCACAAUGAUGUCAAAAUAGAAAUUAAGUGUUAAUGAACUUAAUUAGUAGAUUGAGAACAACAAUUGACUUAUUUUGGAACUGUGUAAGUGGGCUCGAAGUGAAUCGGAAGUGCCAAGUGUCACGCCCCGCCCCGAAACCACUACCAAUUUGGCACGGUUCGGUCGCGGCGACAGACCGCCGAACGGACAGCACCUCCCCUGUCCACCCAAGGCUCAACAACAGGAAUGUGUACAAGGAUUUACCCAGGACUUUAAAUUCUAAACAUACACAUUCAACGAGGGCACAAACAGUGCCAACAACGAGAAGAGCAAGUAAUCCACAAGAUAUAGUAUGUGAAAUAAAGAGAGUACUUUACUAACUAUUACAAUAGUUACAUUCUUUACAUUUACAUCAUUCUCCAAAAUGAAUACAUUUGAUCCUCAAAAUACAUAGCUCUCCAACCUCACCAUCAUGAAUCUCUCUCAAUACAUAGGUGUGCUAAUGCAAAAAGGGAAGCUACUAUACUACCACGGUCUCACUGAUCGGGCGCGAUGCCCUUGCCGCGGUCCUCUCUCGGCAACCCUGUACCUACCACUGGAAAUGGGAUGGGGUGAGAACUAUAUUCCAUAGAUUCCCAGUGGUCGGCCGCCGACUCUGCUGAUUCUCCCACUAGUGUCAAGUUGGGCAUCAGAGCAACAAACAGGUAGAUAGAUAGAUAGAUAUCUGAAAGUUUGUAAUAUGCAAGUUAGUAGCGAAAACUAUGCUUACAUAUGCCCAUAAUCAUGUAAUGUGGAUGCACUGCAUCUAAUAAAUAAGUUUUUACCAGGGCUAACAGAUGUCAUAUCCAUGUUCGAAUAGCUUAGUGUUCAAUGACAUUUAUUAACAACCUUAACUCUUUAUUUACCCAAUCUGUGGCGAGGCCUUAGGGCUGGCCAAUUACUCAGUCUUCAAAUCCCAAAGUGUGGGAAGUGGAGCUCCAAGUGACACCAGCCCGGGACCGUCUGGGGACUCAUUGGUCCGGACCUCCAAGUGGUCCUAGUUCGCGGUGACACUCGCGGACACUCGACGACAAUCCCUCCUAUGUGGGGAAUUGGAUGGCUAUACACCCUAACGCGACUGUGAGCCUAAUCUAUCCUCGAGUGAGGGAUACACUUGACAACUAGGUCAACACCAAGUCGCAGAUCUCUCAAGUAAUGGAGGCUCUACAACAGCUAGCGCUCACAUAAUCCAACUCGAAUCCUCUCCAAGUGAGGAAGCACUCUAUAACUAGAGUCAACAUCUCUCGCGGGAUCAUUUGUUCCCGACAUCCAUGCAAUGCUAUUUAGUUUUCUAAAUUCAUUGUUCACAAGGCAUUUUCUAAGGGAUCCACCUAUCCCUAGGUCCAUCGACCUCUAGUGUCAUUUACACUACAUUAAUGCCACUCGUCAUCAUUUAACAUUUGGAUGCCACUCGUGUGUUCUUUAACACUAAACACUACUUUCUAUGUCAUCAAUACCCCCAUCGGGUUCACCUCUUUUCUUUUACAUCAUAGGAUCCACGUUCCGACCCAAUCCUCACCUAUCUAAGUUACCAAGCGUUCCAAGUACACUAGGUUAUCAUUUAGAAAGCAUAAGGAAUGGAGCUACUAUGCAAUCCUACAAUGCAACAUGAAGAGAUGAGAUCAAAUGCAAUCUAAGACAUAGAAAGGAGUUCGAAAGCUUCGGGAUGACACCCCCCACCUUUUACCAACGUAGAGGUUUUAGAAGCGCUCCUCGACGAGCUUUACGAAAAGGCUUUUGCCUUCCCUAAUCCAAGAUAGCGCCGAAACGACCGUAAUUCGCCGAUUGUUCUAAGUCCGCUCGACGAAUCGCGAAAUCGACUUCGCCCCCGCGUUUGGGCACCUAUCGAUGAGGUUUACAAGGCCUCAAAUGAGAUCAAUCUCAUACUUUACAAAAUGCCCCCAUUUGGAGCCCUAGGUUUGCACAUAUAGCAAACCACCAAUAAAAUCCUAGAUUCUUGGGAUUGAUCUACUUAGAAGCAUGCUUGGGGUCCAUUUGACCCAUUCCAAAGCAUAAAAACCCAAAGCCCUAAGUUUACAAAGUAGGGUUUAGUAGCUUACCUCAAGAGCUACACCAAUGGGAAGAGGAGAGGGAGAUGGAGGUGCUCCAAGCCUUCCUCUUGAUCUCCUUCUUUUUCUCCUUCCUUAUCUUCUUCCUCUUUUCCUUCCUCUCCUUCUUGUUCUCCUUCUCCUUCUUUCCUUUCUAGAGAGAGAGGGAGAGAAAUAGAGAGAUGAGAGUGAGAGAGAGGAAUGAGAGAGUGUGAGGGAGAGAGAGGGCCCAGCCCACUCUAAUAAAGGCCAUUUUGCAUUUAGACCCCUCAACUUUUAACCCCUUGCGCAGCCCUCGCUGGGCAGUUUUCGUGCAGAGGGACCGGUCUCCCCGACUUGGGACCGGUCCCCGAGAGCUUCCCUCGGGCGCACGCGUUCGGGUACCGGUCUCUCCCCGGGAGACCGGUCCUCGGGAGACAGGUCCUCGCCUGAGAGACCGGUCCCCGAGAGCUCAAUUUUCAGGACUUAGCCAAAUCUCGGCAUUUCUCGCUGGAACCACGUUCGGGAACCGGUCCCUCACUGCCAGGGACCGGUUGCACCAUGCAACCCCGCACGCCCAGCCGAUGGGACCGGUCUCUCACCUCCAGAGACCGGUCCCCGAGAGCAACUUCAGCCCAAUAAUGCUGUUUGCAUCGUUAGCUCUCGUGGACUCAACUCCAAAGCACUUUUUGUGUUUUGGACAUUUUUAACUUCCCCAGAGGGUAUUCUCUCAACAAAUAGUCGAUCCUGGACGAAGUAUAACUCUCGAAUUUCGAGAAUUCACUUCCUUACAUUCUCCCCUCCUUAAAAGGAGUUUCGUCCUCGAAACGAACAAAUUCUUUAACUUUUAAUUUAAACUUAUACCUCACUCCUCAAACAGAUGAGGAUGGUGCUUUCUCAUCAGAUCCUCGAGUUCCCAGGUGGCCUCGCGAUCAUCAUGAUUGCUCCACCUGACCUUUACAUAGGGAAUUUCUCGAUUCCUCAACUUUCGCACCUCUCGGGCGAUAAUUCCUACCGGAAACUCUUCAUAGCUCAAGUCUCCUUGAAGUUCCGGCGGUUCAUAUAGCAUCGCAUGCUCCGGGUCGUGAAUAUACUUGCGGAGAUUGGAGACAUGGAACACAUUGUGCACAUCCGCAAGUUUCGGCGGUAAAGCAAGCCGAUACGCCACCGUACCAACUCGCUCCAAUAUCUCAUAUGGCCCAAUGUACCGGGGACUCAGUUUUCCCCGUACUCCAAACCGCUUCACACCACGCAUUGGUGAAACCUUCAGAAAUACGCGGUAACCCACCGCGAACUCUAUAUCUCGUCGGCGCCUAUCUGCAUAGCUUUGCUACCUCGACUGCGCCGUGAGCAAUCUCUUGCGAGCAAGGCGGACUUUCUCCUCCGCUUCUCGCAACACAUCAGGGCCGAACUCUGCCCGUUCACCUACAUCGCUCCAAUGUAUAGGAGACCGACACGUCCGCCCAUAAAGAGCUUCGAACGGUGCCAUCUCUAUACUCGCAUGAUAACUGUUAUUGUAGGCGAACUCGGCCAUAGGUAGGUGAUCACACCAACUUCCCUUAUAGUCGAUGACACACGCUCGCAACAUAUCCUCCAGAGUUUGAAUGGUUCUCUCUGUUUGCCCAUCGGUUUGAGGAUGAAAUGCGGUACUAAAAUCGAGCCGUGUGCCAAGGGCUUCUUGCAGGCUUUUCCAAAAGUGUGAAGUGAACCGGGGGUCACGAUCCGACACGAUCGAUUUCGGCACCCCAUGCAGUCUCACUAUCUCGUCAAGAUAUACCCGCGCUAACUUGUCACCCGACCACGUGGUGUGGAUCGGCAAGAAGUGAGCCGACUUCGUCAAUCGGUCCACAAUUACCCAAAUUGCAUCGUGGCCGCCCGUUGAGCGAGGCAAGCUGACCACGAAGUCCAUCGAUAUAUCUUCCCAUUUCCAAACGGGGAUUGGUAGGCUUUGAAGCUUUCCCGCUGGAAAUCUACGCUCUGCCUUCACUUGCUGGCAUGUUAAGCACUUCGCCACAAAGCGUCCAACAUCACCCUUCAUUCCCGGCCACCAAUAGUGCAUUUUUAGUCCUUGAUACAUCUUGGUGCCGCCCGGGUGAUCAGCAUACGGAGAUCUGUGUGCUUCUUGUAGAAUCAACUCGCGAAGCUCUCCAUCCUUCGGCACACACCAUCGGUUUCUAAACCGAAGCGCACCAUCGGCGUUUAUACUAAAAUCGCCGCCUCGACCAUCCUCGAUGUUUCGCCGCACCUUCUGGAGUUCUGGGUCCGCAGGUUGCAGAUCUUUAAUCCUCUCCAACAAGGUCGGUUGGACAACGAGUGCCAUCAACUGGGCUGGAAUCUCGGGAGGAACCACUUCAAGGUCCAAUCGCUUCAUAUCCAGCCACAGGGGUGUUUGCUGGGUAACAUCAAAAGCGAGAUUCUUCGCCGACUUUCUACUCAGCGCAUCCGCAACCACAUUUGCCUUCCCGGGGUGGUAGAGGAUAUCGACAUCAUAAUCCUUUAACAACUCCAACCACCGCCGCUGACGCAUAUUGAGCUCCUUCUGAGUAAACAAGUACCUUAAGCUCUUGUGGUCGGUAUAAAUCUCACAAUGGGCACCAUAUAAGUAGUGCCUCCACAGCUUCAGGGCGAAAAUUACCGCCGCCAGCUCCAAGUCGUGGAUGGGGUAAUUCUUCUCAUAGCUCUUCAGCUGACGGGAUGCAUAAGCAAUCACCUUCCUGUUUUGCAUCAAUACACACCCCAACCCAAGAUAGGAAGCAUCACUGUAGACUACGAAGUCUUCGCCUUCCACCGGUAGAGCGAGCACCGGAGUUGAAGUCAAUCUUUGCUUCAACUCUUUGAAACUUCGGUCGCACUCCUCGCUCCAAACAAACUUGGUGCCUUUCUGGGUCAGGCGGGUAAGUGGAAUUACUAUCUUGGAGAAGCCUUCCACAAACCGCCUAUAAUAGCCCGCCAAGCCCACGAAGCUUCGAACCUCCGUGACGUUCGUCGGGCGCGGCCAAUCCUUGAUUGCCUCAACUUUCCUCGGGUCUACUGAAACUCCACCCGCGGAAAUCACAUGCCCUAAGAAGGCGACUUCGCGAAGCCAGAAGUCACACUUCUUUAGCUUAGCAUAUAGCUUCUCCUCCCGAAGGACUUGAAGCAGUUUCCUCAAAUGUUCGGCAUGUUCCUCGUCACUUCGAGAAUAGACCAAUAUGUCGUCUAUAAAGACCACGACAAAUUGGUCCAGAUACUCUCUGAAGACACGGUUCAUCAAAUCCAUAAACGCCGCUGGAGCAUUCGUGAGUCCAAAUGGCAUAACCGUGAACUCGUAGUGUCCAUACCGCGUACGAAACGCGGUCCUUUGCACAUCCUCCGGUUUGAUCUUCAAUUGAUGGUAGCCGGAUUACAAGUCUAUUUUCGAGUACACACACGACCCUUGCAACUGAUCGAACAGGUCAUCGAUUCAGGGUAGUGGGUACUUGUUCUUGAUCGUGACUCUAUUCAAUUCUCGAUAAUCCACGCAGAGCCUAAACGAUCCAUCCUUCUUCCUCACGAAUAACACCGGGGCUCCCCACGGUGAUACACUCGGCCGGAUAAAUUGCUUGUCAAGGAGGUCUUGUAGUUGACUCCUCAACUCCCUUAGUUCCGCCGGCGCCAUUCGGUACGGAGCCUUCGAGAUCGGCGCGGUACCGGGAACCAAGUCUAUGACGAACUCGAUCUCCCGAUCCGGUGGUAUCCCCAGCAACUCUGCGGGAAACACAUCCGGGAACUCCCGCACUACCGAGAUCUCCUCCAACAUUGGAGUGACUCGUUCCACCUCUACAACGGUCGCCAAGAACGCUGCACAACCGUUGCUCACCAACUUUCUUGCUCUCGUCGCCGACACCGUCGCGACGAAACACGUGCUCUGGCAAGCUCGAUAGGUGAAUUCUUUCUGUCCUGGCCCACGAAACGUGAUCACCCUGCUCUUGCAGUCAAUCGUGGCGUGGUAUUUCGAGAGCCAGUCCAUACCCAGAAUAACAUCAUAAGCCUCAAGCUUCUGGAGUCCUAGUGUCCGAAUAGGCAUUAUCCAUUCGCCUAUUUGUACCGGACACGAGGCGCACUCUGUGUAGGUAUUGAAUGUCGAUCCAGGGCCCUCCACUCGCCACUUGUCACUCGCUUCUAUAUGUAUGCCAUGCAUGCGUGCGAAUGAUCUACUUAUGAAUGAAUGCGUGGCUCCUGUAUCAAAUAGAGCCCUGGAGCGAACUCCGUUAAUCAAAACCAUACCUGCCACAAGGCGAUGCUCCUCCGCCUCCGCAGGUUCCUCGGCCUGAACCUGAGCUGCAAAUACCCGUCCGCUCGGGGCCGAUCGCGCCAUCUCAGGUUGACGCGGUGUCAUCGCGCGUCCUGUCGACGCGGCCGUCGGUGGAGCUCCUCCAUAAUAUGCCGGAAUCGCCGGCGCCGAUGCAAUCGAUGGGGCAGGUGAGGCUCCUCCUCCCGGGCAGUCCCGAAUGAAGUGCCCCGGUUGCCCACACUUGUAGCACUUGCCCCGGCCUUGUUCACAGCGCGAAACUGGGUGGUCUCCGCAGCAUACAAUGCAUCGCCGCGCUCCACCGUUUUUCUGUUGAGCGCGCGGGUACUUCGGGGGUCUCUUAUAACGUGCUUGACCACCCGAACUACCGCCGCCUUGGCGUUUCUUGCCCUUAUCCUUGGACUCCGCCAAAAGCUCACGCUUCUCCCGCACGUGGGCAUCUCCGUGCUCCGCCCAUAGGGCUCGAUCAAAGACCUCAGCAAAGGUCGUGAGCUUGAGUAUUUGCACGGCCUUGUAGAUUCCCGGCCGAAGUCCUCGCAAGAACCACUCGGCCCGGUCCCGGUCAUCCUUUACAACAUCCGGGACACAAUCUAUGAUGUGGGAGAAUUCCUGUUCAUACUCCGCCACUGGGCGGUCCCCUUGCUCUAGCUUGCCGAACUUCUCCUUGAGCUUCCGCUUCAAUGUAUCGGGGAAGUAGUUGGCGAACAUCUCCCGCUUGAAUUCCUCCCACAGCAUCGGCGGAAGGCCGGGAAGCCGAUCCCACUUGACGCGCUUCCACCAAACCUUUGCCGCCCUUUCCAAGCAAUGGGUGGCGAGAUACACCUUGUCCCUCUCCAAGGUACGCAAGUCGUCGAAGAGGGUUUCCAUCGAGUCGAUCCAAGACUCGACCAUUGCCGGUUCCACCUUCUCACCCUCAAAGGUCGGCGGAUGGAACUUGUUGAACUUGAUAAGAGCCGCUAGCGCACGCUCUCCUUCCACGUCUUCGGCCGUCACGUCGGGUGUAGUCGAUCCCGACGCCGCCGGUGGCACGAUCGCCGGCGGGGGACGCGCCGCCACCGGGACCGCCGCUAUGCCCUCACCCUCAGCUGGCUCAGGUACACGAGCCGAGGGCGCGGGCACAUCGCGUCCGUCCGUCGCCGUUGCGGCCGCUGCCGCUGCCUGCCGCUCCAAGAGCUCCUGGAGCCGCUCGAAUCGGUUCUCCUGGCGCUGCACCACAUCGGUCAGCGCGGACACUUGCGCUUGCAACCGAUCCAUCACGCUCGGUUCUCCCUGCUCGGGCACCUCAGGAGUCGGUGCCGGAGUAGAUCUACGUGUGUAGCGUCUUGGAGACAUUAGUCCCUGAAACGCAAAUACUCGGUUAAUCAUCUUAACCCGUUAACCUCGUCGCAAUUACGACACAUGACAACUUAAUGGCAAAAUCGGGCGGAAGCAUACAAGUGUACUCGUUCUAGGCUCUUGGCAUCAUGUCGUCGGCCGCCGACACAACCACCUCAAGAUAAGAACUUAUACCACUUGAAUUCGUCUCUAAUCACAACUAGAGACCUAUACCCACUUCGACCCAAUCGAAUUGACUUCCGCCAUCGUUAUAGGUUCACGUUCCGCUCACGCACCUAUAACCUUAGGGCUCACCAACCUAGGGUCUCCUAGGUCAUCCUAGACUUUCUCUCUUUACUUGCUCUCAUUGCUCUGAUACCACAAAAGACUGUCACGCCCCGCCCCGAAGCCACUACCAAUUUGUCACGGUUCGGUCGCGGCGACAGACCGCCGAACGGACAGCACCUCCCCUAUCCGCCCAAGGCUCAACAACAGGAAUGUGUACAAGAAUUUACCCAGGACUUUAAAUUCUAAACAUACACAUUCAACGAGGGCACAAACAGUGCCAACAACGAGAAGAGCAAGUAAUCCACAAGAUAUACGAGUGAAAUAAAGAGAGUACUUNNNNNNNNNNNNNNNNNNNNNNNNNCGAAGGCUUAAGGAGCGGAUUUGCCGCAAUGUGCAAUUAGGCGCUCCAAAAGUGGAUUUUGAUACAUAAGAGGGUUUUCUUCUCAGAUUGACCCUUCUCUAACCUAAUUGUGGUCUAUGCAACGCUACGGUGCGCUCGUUCGUCGAUCCGACGGUGUUACGCCGAAUAUUUGAGGAUCGAAGCGUUAAGCGGUACGAUGCCGCAGCUCGCCAGGCGAAAGCUUGCCAAAUCUGGAAAUGGAAUCGUAGCUGUGGUGUUUUGGGGAAUAAAUCCCAGAAUAGACGUAUGCGCGGAUGAGUAUUUUGGCAGUCGCGCGUGGUUGGGUGCGAGGCCGUGCGCGGCAUGCGCCGCCAGGCGCCGAUGCCGAGUGACGCACGAGCAAGUCGAACGCUAUAGAAAGGUGGUGAGUGUCCAUCCCGAAGCCAUCGGCUCCCUUUUGUCUUAAGUUUAUAUGAUUCAGCUAUGCAUUAAUUGACAUCUUGGCAUUGUGGGUAUAAAUGAGGUGUGGUUCUAUACCUUGCAUGUUCCUUGGUAAAUAAUAUUUGGCUAGUAUUUAUAUCUAGCAUGCUUAGGUUUAUAUCAUGUGAUGUGAACCCUAUAAUCGAGAGAUAAGUGUGAUGGGAAUUUAGUAAUGUAUUGACUAUUGCCAUUGGAAAUUGUAAAGAACGAGUGAAUCUAGUUUGAUAGUCAAACAAAGAACGAGUGACAUAUGUGGCAGUCAAGUGUAUAUAAACCUAGGACUAUAUGAUGAUUAAUAACCUAGAGGAAUCAGGGUAUUCUCGAGAUGAGGAUUGGAUCAUGCUCGCGGUCUGUUAAAUCUUGAUGAUGGAACCCACACAAGUAUGCCGCUCCGGCAUGUUGGUCCGCAGGAUGCCAAUGGCAGCGCCAGAAACGGUACCUGGUCCCCGAUAGUGUGAAGUGUAAUUCUCUACCUAUUCGAGAAUGGCUAGUGAGCUGUGGCGAGCCUUCGGUAAGCCAUUGAGAUUAAUAACAAGUAAGUAUGAGUUAAUGAAACGAGGUGAAUAGGUUCACUUGGACAUGAUAACAGGUUAGUGCUUACCUAUUUCAUUGUACAUGCAGUUGGCAUAUAUUAUGAGUGGGCAUAGGUAAGAGUAGUGUUUACUCGCUGUCAUUAUCGCCGUCCUUAUCUAUCUACUAUCGAUUAUCUAACUUCCGAUUGGACCUAGUGGGGAGAACGCGGAGUCGCCGGCGACGAAACCCACUGGAAACUAAGGAAGUUAGUUUCUCACCGCCCAUUUUACUACAGGGCCGAGCGCGAGUUCACACGGCGAGAUCGGGCGUAAGCCCGCCUUAGUGCCCUAGUUUGCAUUAGGCUACUUCCCUAUUUCUGCAUUAGAGUCACCUUUAUGCUUUGGAGAGUAGACGAUGUAUGGAUGUGAGAUAUUCUGCGAGAAGUAAGCAAUGUUCUAUAUUUGGAAGAUGAAGCUUUUAUUAUGUUUUGGAGGUUCAAUUGUAAUCAUUGUAUUAUAAGAAGCGUUGAAUGAAUGUAAUAGAUUAGAUGCGUCUCUCUUUAUCAAUUACUUGUGAGUGUUCUAUACUUGUAUCUUGCUCUUGGUGCGUGUGCACUGAUUGUGCUCUCGUUCUACAUUAUGAUGUGUAUGUAUUCAAGGUGUUUUUCCUGGUGGGACUUGUUGUAUCACUAUCUUGUUGUUAGCCUUGGGCGGACCAGGGAGUGCUGUCCGUCCGGCGUCUUUGAGCGCCGCCGCCCGAACCACAUUGGGUCAGCUGCGACGCGGGCGUGAACACCUAGUUUCAGUGUAUCCUCACUCGUCGGAGAGAUAGAUCUAGCUCACAGUCUGCGUUUAGGGUGUAUAGCCAUCCAUCCCACAAUAAAGGGGAUUUGCUCGUCGAGUUACUCCGGAGGUCUGCGGCGACUGGACCACUUGGAGGUCACGGACCACAAUGGAGUCGGCAGACGGUCCGCCGGCUUGGAGUUGCACUUGGAGCUCCUCCCAACUUUGGAUUGAAAGCUGUCAGCCCCGCAGACGCUACCAUUGGUCCGUCCGUGCGCGUCGAACAGACGCCGGACGGACACAGCACCUCCCUGUCCGCCCAAGGCUAAACACAGGAUCAUGUAAAACUAGUUCCCUAGGAAAUCAAACUUGCAAUACAUACAAUGAUCAAACAUAGCGAGGGCACAACCAGUGCCGAACUUCAAGAGCCAAAGAUCACAAGUAUAUAACAAGUGAAUAAAAGAAAGAGAUAUUAACUAUCUAUACAUUCACAUUUGACAUUCAACAUUUCAUCCAUUCAACCUUUAAUACAACUUUGAUUAUAUUUAAGCCCUCCAAAACUGAAUACAUAGAUGCAUCUACAUGGAAUAAUGCUACGCUAUCCAAAAUUAAUAUGUCAUUAUAACCAUGCACAACGAGGGUGACUCUUUACAUAGGAAAGCUCUACUAGCUAGCUAGGGCGGCUACAUGCCCUACCUCGAUACCUGCCUCGGUCGCUCACGUGUGUACUUACCUUCCAAAAACACACGGGGUUGAAAUAAUAGUAAAUAUAGUUCCCAGUGGCUUCGCCGCGCACUCCGCCGAUUUCCACUAGGGGGUCAAGUUGUGCACAGAUAGAGUAGACUAGAGAUACAUUGGAAAUUAAAACUGCUACCUAUAUCUUACUAUGCCAAUUCAAAUGCAAGGAAUGCAUGCGAAUAUCAUUUAUCAUGCUACGUAUGCUUUAAUAAUGUAAUGAAACAAAUACGACACAUAUGCAUUCCACUAACAUUACUAUGUCGUAAUCGUGGUAUAAGUCAAAUCUGCUUAUCAAUUCAUGUCAUUUACCCAAUCCACUAAGGUACCCCGCCUUUCUCAAAUCACAUAAGGUCGAAGGAUACCCCGCCCUUGUUUUCACCGUCAACAACUCUAAACACAUAGGUAAGGAGCACUACCCCGCCUCGUACCCGACUCCAAGAUCUCAAGUCCUAUAGAUGAAGAGCUACCCGGGGUCCGCCCAACCAUGACUCAAAUGCCUAAGGCGCAAGAGCUACCCGCUCUUCGCCGACUCUAACUCAAACUACAUAGUCAAGAGCUCCGCUCGUAGAUAAAGAGCUACCCGCUCGUAGUAAAGAGCUACCCCGCUCAUAGGUAAGGAGCACCCCGUCAUCAGGUAAAGAGUUACCGCACGUCAAAGUAAACGAGCUACCCCGCCUCAAAUCUAACAGGUGAAGAGCUACCCGCCCUUCCACCUGCACUCAUUCUCAGUCCAUAUGGGUAUGGGCAGCGACCUCCGCUCGUAAUCCCCACCCGAUGAGCUACCCCGCUCAUGAGCUAACCCCCUCGGUGACAAUCUUCAAGUUCCACAACACUAGGUUGUAAUGCUCAACCUAUGUUUAACAACAUUAUAUAAUGCCACUCGAUCUAUCCUAUGCUGUUCGCGACACUAGGUUUACGAUGCCACAUUGCCUCAUAAUUAACAAUAGGUUAACAUUCAAUUUCAUCUAGCAUAUAUGUUCUAUAGAAAGCCAACAUGCAUCAUAAUUGCUAAUAUGCCAUUUAUCACAGCAUGCAAUCCUUUCAUAAUGCACUACUGCAAUACAAUCUCCCAUCACACUAUGUCACAUGUCACGAGUUCAUUAACAAGCCAAGUUUCUUUAUUCCUUAUCUACAUAGAUUCAUGUCUCAACUUAAUCAUCAUGCAUUCUACGAGUUUUAAGUGUCAAGUCUAUAAUACUACACAACUAGACAUGCGAAUGCAAGAAAAUUAGAAAUUAUAACUAUCUAUAUCUAUAACUCAUAAGAACCACUAUUAUAUAAAUCAUGAUCAACUAUUUUACUCGGACAUAGAAGGAAGCGCCAUUGCUGUCGGAUAGACACCCCCACCUUUUAACAACAUUCCGAUUGCCGCUCUCACUCGCAAUCGCGUCCACGCGGCGGCACGCCGCUCGCCUCGACCGCUAUCCGCUGCGCGCCACCAAACGACCUCCGAUCACGCGAUGCCGAAAUUAUAGGUCUUCGCUUUCUCGCUAACGGUGCUCAAAUCCCGUUCCACGAUUUUAUGGAAGCGCCUCGACUCCCCAAGGUCAUAUGAACUCGACGCAACACUUGAUCAGCCGGACGUCGCAUCCGCUCGACAAUCGACGAACGCCUCGCUUCCUACGCGUUCGAGACGAAACAAUUAGGUAGUUCUGUGACCACUCAAAAUAGAUCAAACUCCAACUACUUACAAAAACCCACAUUUUUAACCCAUACGGUUUGCGGCAAUUAGUAAAAAUCCACCAUUAGUGGCUUUGAAUUUUAAGCUUUGAAUCAUCUAUUAAGCAUCAAAAGGUCCACUAAAUCCAUUUAUUACAGGAUUAAAACCUAGCUCUAGCUAACUCUACCAUUAAAGCCCUCAUUUUGGACCAUAUAUCUGCAACUACAUGGAAAAAUCCCCAUUAAGCUUUGGAUUCAAGUAUUAAUCAUGAGACUACCUGCUAGCAUUCCAUCUAAAUCAUUCUUAGAGAUGAAACCAACCUAAGAAAAUCACCAUUAGAGCUUAAGCCUACCUUCUGCAAAGCUUACUCCCAAACCCAAGAACAAGAUGAAGAAUGGUGAAGUCCACCUCUUGACCUUCUCUCCUUCUUCUUUCUCCCUUCUUAUCUCUUCUCCCUUCUGUUCUAUUUCGUUUAGAGAGAUUUGAGAGAGGGAGAGAGUAAUGUGAGGGAGUGAGGGAAAUGAGAAAAGAAGAGAGAAUAGACAUGCUCUCUUAAUCCCCUCUUGCAUAUUGUACAUUUCAAUAAGCCCCUCUAAUCUUCUCCAACCUGCAACAGCCCAAACUGGGUGUUUUCUGCUCGGGCACUGGACCCCCUGGUGAUGAGACCCGUCCCCGACGACCAGAAUUCAGGCAUUUUCAGACUUAGCAAAUUUUUCAGCCUUUUUCGUUUCGGGUGCCGUCUUUCGCUCGUUUUUUGCUCGUUUGACCUCCGAUUCUUUUCAAUCGAAACCGGAGACUCUCCAAACAUGUUUUCGAGCAUGUUUCCAUUCAUACUCGUUCAUCUCCGCUAAUGCCGGAUUUAGUUCAUGGUUCACGACAUUAGCCUUUCGGAUCCCGUUCCGCGCUACGCCGCCAGCGCGAAUCGCCCGAUUCACUCCGAACUUCACCAACUUCACGGAAACCCUUCAAAUGGCUCUCCAACCAAAUUUAACACGCAAUAUUCAUAAUUUUAGAAGUCCGGACCUUACAGAAAGAUGGGUUCAUGGGCGAGCCCUAAGGCCUCGCCACAGAUUGGGUGAUGAAAGUUAAAGGUUAAUGAAUGUCAUUGAACAUAGCCUAUUCUCGAACAUGUGAUCGAAUUAGUUAGCGAUGGUACAAACCUUAUUAUAUAUGCAUGCUAUCACUAUUCGAAUGAUUAUGGAUGGUAGCUAUAGUUUUCCUACUACCGCAUUAACAGCUUUUCAUGAAUAUUAUCUAUCUAUCUCCUGUUGUUGCUGUGCCCAUUGGACCUAUGUGGGAGCUCGCAGAGUCGGGCCGAGCCACUGGGAACUGAUGGAAGAUAUUCUCACCCACUUUAUUCCGUGGUAGGUACCGGUUGCCGAGAGAAGGACCGCGCAAGGGCAUCGCGCCCCGAUCAGUUGACCGUGCGUAAUAAAAUAGAUAGCUUUCCUUUUUGCAUUAGCACACUCUCAUGUUUGAGAGAGAUUUCAGGUAGGUGAGAUUGGAGCUAAUGUAUUUUGAGGAUCAAUGUAUUUCAUUUUGGAAAAUGAUGUAAAUGUAAAGAAUGUAAACUAUUAUAAUAGUUAGUUUAGAAAGCAUAAGGAAUGGAGCUACUAUGCAAUCCUACAAUGCAACAUGAAGAGAUGAGAUCAAAUGCAAUCUAAGACAUAGAAAGGAGUUCGAAAGCUUCGGGAUGACACCCCCCACCUUUUACCAACGUAGAGGUUUUAGAAGCGCUCCUCGACGAGCUUUACGAAAAGGCUUUUGCCUUCCCUAAUCCAAGAUAGCGCCGAAACGACCGUAAUUCGCCGAUUGUUCUAAGUCCGCUCGACGAAUCGCGAAAUCGACUUCGCCCCCGCGUUUGGGCACCUAUCGAUGAGGUUUACAAGGCCUCAAAUGAGAUCAAUCUCAUACUUUACAAAAUGCCCCCAUUUGGAGCCCUAGGUUUGCACAUAUAGCAAACCACCAAUAAAAUCCUAGAUUCUUGGGAUUGAUCUACUUAGAAGCAUGCUUGGGGUCCAUUUGACCCAUUCCAAAGCAUAAAACCCAAAAACCCUAAGUUUACAAAGCUAGGGUUUAGUAGCUUACCUCAAGAGCUACACCAAUGGGAAGAGGAGAGGGAGAUGGAGGUGCUCAAAGCCUUCCUCUUGAUCUCCUUCUUCUUCUCCUUCCUUGUCUUCCUCUUCUUUUCCUUCCUCUCCUUCUUGUUCUCCUUCUCCUUCUUUCCUUUCUAGAGAGAGAGGGAGAGAAAUAGAGAGAUGAGAGUGAGAGAGAGGAAUGAGAGAGUGUGAGGGAGAGAGAGGGCCCAGCCCACUCUAAUAAAGGCCAUUUUGCAUUUAGACCCCUCAACUUUUAACCCCUUGCGCAGCCCUCGCUGGGCAGUUUUCGUGCGGAGGGACCGGUCUCCCCGACUUGGGACCGGUCCCCGAGAGCGUCCCUCGGGCGCACGCGUUCGAGUACCGGUCUCUCCCCGGGAGACCGGUCCUCGGGAGACAGGUCCUCGCCUGAGAGACCGGUCCCCGAGAGCUCAAUUUUCAGGACUUAGCCAAAUCUCGGCAUUUCUCGCUGGAACCACGUUCGGGAACCGGUCCCUCACUGCCAGGGACCGGUUGCACCAUGCAACCCCGCACGCCCAGCCGAUGGGACCGGUCUCUCACCUCCAGAGACCGGUCCCCGAGAGCAACUUCAGCCCAAUAAUGCUGUUUGCAUCGUUAGCUCUCGUGGACUCAACUCCAAAGCACUUUUUGUGUUUUGGACAUUUUUAACUUCCCCAGAGGGUAUUCUCUCGACAAAUAGUCGAUCCUGGACGAAUGAUAACUCUCGAAUUUCGAGAAUUCACUUCCUUACACUUGUUCACCCAAAAGGAGUUGAAUAUGCGGCAACGGCGGUGGUUAGAGUUACUAAAAGACUACGAUGUCACUAUACUAUACCACCCCGGUAAAGCC
rnacentral:lncRNA from 1 species